CAUUGAGCCAAGAUGGUAGCUACCAACAAUACAAAUUACGACAGACAAAGUGAGCUGAAGGCCUUUGAUGACACAAAGGAAGGUGUGAAAGGCCUUGUUGAUGCUAGGAUAACUGAGGUUCCUAGAAUUUUUCAUCAACCACCAGAUCAGUACAUCAUCAACAGCAACUUUGAUUCAGAAGCUACGCAGUUUAGCAUUCCACUCAUUGACCUUGAAGGCCUUGAGUUUGAUAGUCCAACGAAACGAAACGAGAUUGUUGCGAAAGUUGGAGAGGCAUCAGAGACUUGGGGCUUCUUUCAAAUUUCUAACCAUGGAAUACCAGUUGGUGUUCUAGAGGAGAUGAAGGAUAGUGUACGUGGGUUUUUUGAGCAAGACACUCAUGUGAAGAAACAGUUUUACAAUCGUGAUCCGCUCAAACCUGUGGGCUACAAUAGCAACUUUGAUCUAUACCGAGCACCGGCGACUAAUUGGAGGGAUACUUUUAGGUGCUACAUGGCUCCUAAUCCUGCUAAGCCUGAAGACAUGCCAGAAGUAUUCAGGUAUGUGACAAGGAAAUUUAUAAUUCUCUGCUAUAAUUGGAAAAUUUAUGUUGAUAUCAAUUAUUUGAUUUAAAUUCCAUCCCUGAAUUUGAUGAGUUAAUUAGAUGAUAUGGUAUACUUUGUCCAGCUUAAUUUUAAGUUUAAUGUACAUUUAUCUUGCUUCGGAAUUGGAUACAGACCACCCAUCUGAGGUUUAUAUGGAUGGGUUGAAAGCAUCACCAAACUAGUUGGUCUUUUUGAUUAAGUUUGGUAUUAAAGCAGGCCUAAUUCCUUGUCUGCUAUCGCCAGUGACAAGUCUAUUGCGUGUCUGGGAGAGGGGUAAAAUGUCCCAAACAAGAAUCACAUAUUGAAUAAGAAUGAGUUUUGAUGUGAGCUUUAUACAUGAGUAAGUAGGAAAAAACUCAGCCUCCAACAGGCUAGUUUUGUUGGGUUAAGUGGCAAAGACUCAGCCUCCAACAGUAGGCCAUUUUCCUUUUCUAAACAUAAAACAAAAGCCAUUCAGCUUACCGUUUUGGUUAAAUGCCUCUCACUAGAAUGUUUAAUUGAAUUAUGUAUAUAUGACAACUUCAUGUGCUUUGCUGUUUUUCAUCUUUUGUAGAGACAUACUUAUUGAGUACUCCAAGCAAGUAAUGAAAUUGGGGAAGUUGUUGUUCGAGUUGCUGUCCGAGGCUCUUGGGCUAAAGCCAAGUUACUUGAAUGACAUAGAUUGUAGUUUAGGGCUUUUGCUUGGAGGGCAUUACUAUCCCUCAUGUCCACAGCCAGAGUUAACUAUGGGGGCAAGCAAGCAUGCUGACAAUGAUUUCCUCACAGUCCUUCUGCAAGAUCAUAUUGGUGGUCUCCAAGUUCUUCAUCAGAACAAGUGGAUUGAUGUGCCCCCAAUGCCUGGGGCUCUAGUGGUUAACAUAGGAGAUCUUCUACAGGCAAGUACAACUUUUCUUCUUCUUCAUCUCUUAUUAGUAUUGUAUUAGAACAUGACUCAUAUUCUUCCAUCUCGUUUCCUAGUUUGGUUUUAUUUUUAAUAAAUAAAUAAAUAAAAUUAUGGUUGAGUUCUUUUGGGUUUGCAGGUUUUAUCAAAUGAUAGAUUCAAGAGUGCAGAGCACAGGGUAUUGGCAAACCGUGUAGGUCCAAGAGUAUCAGUUCCAUGCUUCUUUACCACAGGUAUGCUACCAUUGGAAAGACUCUAUGGACCCAUCAAAGAGUUAUUGUCAGAAGACAACCCUCCAAAGUACAGGGAGACAACUAUAAGGGAAUAUACUGCCCACUUCAAUGACAAGGGCCUUGAUGGCACCUCUGCUUUGACUCAUUUUAAGCUUUGAACUUGGAGAUAGAGGAGCAGUGCAGCCCUGAACAAAAUAUUUAGCAGACACCAUUUGUUUACUGUAGCUGCUCCAAUUUCUUUUUUAAAAUUUCAUAAACUGUCUCUGUUGUGGUUUGCUAAUAGCCUUCAUGCACUUGUAAAAUCAUGCUUGCCAGCAAAAGCAGGUUUUUAAGAGUUAAAUGCCUGAUGCAGGAUAUAUGUCAAAGUUAUAAAGUAAGAUAUUUAUCUGUUACUGUGGUUUGAUAGAAUCCUGCAAAUCAUGUUUGUGAACAUAUUAGAUGGAAUCCUGUUUCAAAAGCAGAAAUUUUCAACUAUGAUGAUAUAUUGAAAAGUCUUGAAGUUAAUAAAAUUUUAUAAUCAAUAUCACAUGUCGGUACGCAAACUCUAAAUAUGGUUAACCCAAAAUGAAUAUAUUAAUGUCACAAUUUAUUAAAAUUACUUUUGUUCUAUUUCAACUUUCAACAGAUUACUUUUAAAAAAAUUUUACUUACUAGAAUAUGUUAACAUAUAUAGACCAUUAUCUUAUAUAUUUAUUCAAUCAUUAGUGUAAUAAGGCUUAUAGAAAUGCAGAGAGAUUGAGUAGAAGAAAGAGGAGAGAAUUUCAGAGAGAGAGAAUGGAGAAGAAGCUAGCUAAAAAAUUGUAUUAGCUCAGCUCUAAAAUGUCAUGCAUAUAUUGUGCUAUGACAAAACCGUUAGGAAUGGAAUAUUCCUCAUUACAUCAUUCAAUCCUAGCCUCUCAUUUAACUACCCUAUGAGAUAGAGACAAGUGGCACAAGACUAUUACAUUUUCUGCUGCAUACUUGGACUGUGAUCCAAAGCUGCCUAUUAAAACAAAGAAUAGAAACUUCUUUUUGUUCUAAUUACAUUUCAGCAAUCACACUUACAAACCAACAUAUCCGGACCCUUUUGUCUUGCUCUGCACUCUUCAAAACCAGCAAGUUCAACGAGGAGUUCAUUUUUAUAAGAUUAGCUUGGAGGAUGUGUUACGACAUGCUUUAGUUUAAACCAGAAAAUACACAAAAGUCAAAGAAUGAAUAUAUUUUUGGCAUUUUCAACUUUGCUCUAUGAUCUUUAUAAUAAAGUGAUCUUCUUUGCAAAAAUAUGCACUUCUGGUCUGAAUCAAAUCCAAUCUGAUAUCCAUUAGACCAAAAUGGUAGCUAACAACACAAAUGAGGUUCAAACUUCAAACAAAUUAUGACAGACACAGUGAGCUAAAAGCUUUUGACGACACCAAGGAAGGUGUUAAAGGCCUUGUUGAUGCUGGUAUAACUGAGGUUCCUAGGAUUUUUCAUCAACCACCAGAUGAGCACUUCAUUGACAGCACUUCUGAUUCAGAAGCCACCCAAACCCAAUUUAGCAUUCCACUCAUAGACCUUGAAGGCCUUGCUCUUGAUAGUCUGACGAAACGAAAGGAGAUCGUUGCAAAAGUUGGAGAGGCAUCAGAGACUUGGGGCUUUUUCCAAAUUGCCAAUCAUGGAAUUCCUAUUGGUGUUCUGGAGGAGAUAAAGGAUGGGGUGCGUGGUUUUUUUGAGCAAGACACUGAGGUGAAGAAAGAGCUUUACACUCGUGAUUACUUCAUACCUGUGAUCUAUAAUAGCAACUCUGAUCUAUAUAAAGCACCAGCGACUAACUGGAGGGAUACUUUUAUCUGUUACAUGGCUCCUUACGCAAAGAAGCCAGAAGACUUGCCUGAAGUAUGCAGGUAUAUGUCACAACGAAACUUACAUAUAAUUCUCUGCUACAAUUUGUAGUUUAUUUGAUGAUAUUAAUUAGCUUGACAGCUUCAUAUGUGGUUAAACUUUGUAGAGACAUUCUUAUUGAGUACUCCAAGCAAAUAAUGAGGUUGGGGAAGUUGUUGUUCGAGUUGUUGUCGGAGGCUCUUGGGCUGACACCAAGUCACUUGAAUGACAUAGAUUGUAGUGAGGGCCUUGUGCUUCUGUGCAAUUACUAUCCUGCUUGUCCACAGCCAGAAUUAACUUUGGGCACAAGCAAACAUGCUGACAGUUACUUCCUCACAGUCCUUCUGCAAGAUCAUAUUGGUGGCCUCCAAGUUCUUCACAAGAACAAGUGGAUUGAUGUGCCCCCAGUGCCUGGGGCUUUAGUGGUUAACGUUGGAGAUCUUUUACAGGCAAGUAGAACAAUUAUUUUCUUCAUCUUAACAAAGUUGAAACUACAGUAGCUAUAGUAACAAUUAUUAUAAAUCACAAAAAUCAUUUGUUACUUUUGGCUAUUUCAUCAUCUAGUGAUUAAAAUUGAAGAAAUUUUUUGGUGGUGCAUAUAGUAUUAUUGUCGUAGAAUAUGUGUCGAAUGCUUCGAUUUAGUUUCCUACCUUGGGUUUUUUUUUAAGAUGAUGAACUCAUUUCGGGUUGCAGCUUAUAUCAAAUGAAAGAUUCAAGAGUGUAGAGCACAGGGUACUGGCAAACCGUGUAGGUCCAAGAGUAUCUGUUGCGAGCUUCUUCACCACAGGAAUGUUACCGUUGAAAAAACUCUAUGGACCCAUCAAGGAGCUAGUAUCAGGGGACAAUCCUCCAAAGUACAGGGAGAAAAACUGUGAAGGACUUUAAUGCCCACGUCAAUAUCAAAGGCCUUGAUGGAACCUCUGCCUUGAAUCAUUUCAAGCUCUGAACUUGGACACAGAGGAGGAGCACAAUGAACAAAUGAUCUCUACUAAAUAACUUGCAUGCAUGAUACUGUAAGGUUAUUGUUUGUACAUGCAUGACUUAACUAUAAUCUGUUGCGGAAUAAGAUGGCUUCUCAGAUUUUUAUGAUAUUCUCUUGUAAAAUCUUGUUUGUCUACAAAAGCAGAGUUUCAACUAUAACCAGAUUUAAUGCAACGCAAGCCAAUAAUCUUAGAAAACCUGCAAGUUAACUGAGUUGUUCAUUUUUCAGAUGAAGAUACUGUUAGACCAAGGUCUGACGUGGAUAAAGCUACUGGGUUUUUGAAUUUGAAUGAUAGUUCUUUAUCCUCUGGUUCGUUUGAAUGAGGAGUUUUGUAUUGUAUAGAAAUAGAACUCUAUCACUUAAUAGCUGAAAUCCUGUUUUGUAGGAACAGCUUUCUGUUUUUCAAACCUUGCUCUGAUACCAUGAAAGACUUUGAAAUAGCAUGAAAAGCUUACCGACCAAUAUGGCUGCAGCUGUGUAUUUAUAUUGAUUGUAUUGAUAAGUACAGGUUUGAGUAUUUUGGAUAUUUGGGAGGAAGGAAGAAAGCACAGAAACGAAUGAAGAAGAGAACGUUGCCCUGAAAGAAAAAACUGGAGAUUACCAUUCAUUUAAUUCCACUAUUCAUGUAUAUUCGUAUGAGAAGAGAGAGGUGUGAAGCUUCUCUAACUGCUUUACAGGGAUUAAAUCCUAGCCUUUGAUCCUAUCACCCUAUGAGAUGAUUACACUUGUCUUAAUCUGACAAUUAUAUCCUAGGCCACUUGGACUAUGAUCCAACGGCUCUCAUUACAACCAGAAAUUAAAACAUAUAAAAUAAAAUUCAAAACUUUGACUUUAGCUCCAAGGAUUUCAGCUGAAGGGUUACACAUCAACACUCUCUACUGUCUUAGAAUGCUAAAUAUGACAAGUAAAGACUGAUUAUACCACUAAGCCAAAACUAUGAAAGCCAAGUGAGUCUGUGGCUUCAUCCUUACAAAAUAAAGUAGAAUGAAUACAACCAAAAAUAAGACAAGUUUCUGUCCAAAAUGUUUCAAGACCUAUUUGACAGAAACUUAUCUACACCAUUACAACGAGGACAUUAACAUAAUUUUAACAAAAGCAUUAUCCUUUGAUAUCAGCUGCCUUGGGACCACUUCUUAUCCGUAGAGUUGGAUCCAUCCUCUUAUCAACUUAAAGGCUACGCACUCUUCUGCUUUUUCUCUAUAUUCUGGUUGAUCCUCAACCACCUUUUAUAAUCCUAAACCAAAUUAAGAAAAUGUUUGCAGAAGACGAUCAUGAACUCGAGGCUAACAGUGACCGCAUGAGUGAGUUAAAAGCAUUUGAUGCGACCAAAGCUGGCGUUAAGGGACUGCUCUAUACAGAUCUCACAAAAAUUCCAAGUAUUUGUUGGGAAAGAUUGCGAAAAAUCAAAGAGUCAAUAAAUAUAUAUGGCACUUUCAGGAUCUGACUUCUCUCAGCCUUGUGUAAAUAAAAUAGGUAAAAAAUAAUAAUCUAUCUUACACUAAGAAAAAUAAUGGGAAUACAAUAAUAAACUCACCAAACACCGGUGGUUAAACUCUCUCCUGAUUUUUCUCUCAAGAGAAUUUUCUCUCUCACACAAGUAAGGUUUUCAUAUCUCUCAAAACUGUCUAAGUUUUGGUUUUCUGAGGGAUGAUUUGAACUGAAAGAAGGCAGCUGCUUUUAUAGCCAACGUUCCUAACAAAUUAGUGACCUUGCAUGAGAGAGAGUUUUUCUCAUUUUCUCUUUCAUUCUUUUUCUUCAAAUUUUCCCGUCCUUUAUUUUAUUUUAUUUUAAUAUUUAUUAUCCUUCUUUUUCUCUCCUCCACUAACGAGGGAAACCCAUCAGUAUUUUCUACUCUUCAUCACGACCAAGCUUCGACGCAAAGAAGCUGCAAAGUGAUGAUGUCCAGUUCAGUGUUCCAAUCAUUGAUCUCAGAGGCAUCCAAAACGACGCAGUUUCUGUUAGAGUUUUGAACAGAUUUUGGAGAAGAAAAGAAAAACAAUAUGCAAGAGAAAAACCGAGAGCACAGCUAAAACAAUUCUUCUGUAUUUUUGUAUUGUAUUCUCUGCUUUUUUUUCGGGCAAGCUCAGUGUGAGCUAUGUAACUGUUAGAAGCACAGCUGGAUUCUCUUACAUCAUUAGAGAAUCACAGCCUUACAUUCAAAACUGAUAUCUAAGAUCAUUACACGUGGCUAUAGCCACUUACCAUUUAACUGACGCCUAACACUUGCCUAUCUUAGUGACUAAGUGAAUACACAAACUCAGAUUAAAGGCCUAACAUCAUUUAUAUCAGCUCACACACUUAUAUUUCAACACUCCCCUUUAAGUUGUGAGCUGAUUUCACACCAAGCUUCUCUCGUAGAUUCUUUCAGGUGGUGAAUCAUGGAGUUCCUGUUGAUAUUUUGGAUCAGAUGAUCGAUGGCAUACGCGGAUUCCAUGAGCAGGACAGUGAGGUUAAAAAAGAGUUCUAUUCGCGCUUUAGUGGCGUACCAAACAACUCAUAAGAGUCCAGCACAAUGCAGUGAUUAAUUUGGCAAAAUUAUUUUUUCAAUAAUCAAAUUGGAUUUUUCUGUAGAAUUCAAUGACUAAAAAGGUUUUUAACCCAAUAUUAAAUUACUUCUGUUUUUUUUUUCUUUUUUGUCAAAGUUAAAAAUGAAAGAAGAAAAACUCACACACCAAAGAUCUGGAUUAAUCCAACUAACACCGCAUUUUAUUUCAACUAUCACCAAAUUACUAUUAAACAAUUAUUACUUACUAGGGAAUAUUUGGACCCUUUUGUCUUGGCCUGGACUAUUCGAAAACUACAAAUGCAACAAGUUGUUCAUUUAUGUAUACAUAAAAGCAGCUAUGCGGAUGUGUUACGGCAUCCUUUCGAUUAAACAACAAAAUAUGGGUAUGACUAUUUUUUAUUGCCAAUAAUCCACUCAACCAAUGAAUUUUUCGACGAAUUAUAAAUGCAAUUUUAAAAUUUCUUUUAAAAAAUAAAAAAUCAAGUGAACAAUGAAUUUUUGGCAUUUUCAACGUGCUUGAUCUUUGCAAAAGCAUUGUCUUCCCACUCUACUCGUUAUAUAAUGAAGUGAUCUUCUUUGCAAAAAUAUACACUUGUGGCCUGAAUCAAAUCUAAUCUGAUAUCCAUUGAGCCAAGAUGGUAGCUACCAACAAUACAAAUUACGACAGACAAAGUGAGCUGAAGGCCUUUGAUGACACAAAGGAAGGUGUGAAAGGCCUUGUUGAUGCUGGGAUAACUGAGGUUCCUAGAAUUUUUCAUCAACCACCAGAUCAGUACAUCAUCAACAGCAACUUUGAUUCAGAAGCUACGCAGUUUAGCAUUCCACUCAUUGACCUUGAAGGCCUUGAGUUUGAUAGUCCAACGAAACGAAACGAGAUUGUUGCGAAAGUUGGAGAGGCAUCAGAGACUUGGGGCUUCUUUCAAAUUUCUAACCAUGGAAUACCAGUUGGUGUUCUAGAGGAGAUGAAGGAUAGUGUACGUGGGUUUUUUGAGCAAGACACUCAUGUGAAGAAACAGUUUUACAAUCGUGAUCCGCUCAAACCUGUGGGCUACAAUAGCAACUUUGAUCUAUACCGAGCACCGGCGACUAGUUGGAGGGAUACUUUUAGGUGCUACAUGGCUCCUAAUCCUGCCAAGCCUGAAGAAAUGCCAGAAGUAUUCAGGUAUGUGACAAGGAAACUUAUAAUUCUCUGCUAUAAUUGGAAAAUUUAUGAUGAUAUCAAUUAUUUGAUUUAAAUUCCAUCCCUGAAUUUGAUGAGUUAAUUAGAUGAUAUGGUAUACAUUUUCCAGCUUAAUUUUAAGUUUAAUGUACAUUUAUCUUGCUUCGGAAUUGGAUACAAACCACCCAUCUGAGGUUUAUAUGGAUGGGUUGAAAGCAUCGCCAAACUAGUUGGUCUUUUUGAUUAAGUUUGGUAUUAAAGCAGUCCUAAUUCCUUGUCUGCUAUCGCCAGUGACAAGUCUAUUGCGUGUCUGGGAGAGGGGUAAAAUGUCCCAAACAAGAAUCCCAUAUUGAAUAAGAAUGAGUUUGAUGUGAGCUUUAUACGUGAGUAAGUAGGAAAAAACUAAGCCUCCAACAGUAUGCCAUUUGCCUCCAUCAGGCUAGUUUUGUUGGGUUAAGUGGCAAAAACUCAGCCUCCAACAGUAGGCCAUUUUCCUUUUCUAAACAUAAAACAAAAGCCAUUCAGCUUACCGUUUUGGUUAAAUGCCUCUCACUAGAAUGUUUAAUUGAGUUAUGUAUAUAUGACAACUUCAUGUGCUUUGCUGUUUUUCAUCUUUUGUAGAGACAUACUUAUUGAGUACUCCAAGCAAGUAAUGAAAUUGGGGAAGUUGUUGUUCGAGUUGCUGUCCGAGGCUCUUGGGCUAAAGCCAAGUUACUUGAAUGACAUAGAUUGUAGUUUAGGGCUUUUGCUUGGAGGGCAUUACUAUCCCUCAUGUCCACAGCCAGAGUUAACUAUGGGGGCAAGAAAGCAUGCUGACAAUGUCUUCCUCACAGUCCUUCUGCAAGAUCAUAUUGGUGGUCUCCAAGUUCUUAAUCAGAACAAGUGGAUUGAUGUGCCCCCAAUGCCUGGGGCUCUAGUGGUUAACAUAGGAGAUCUUCUACAGGUAAGUACAACUUUUCUUCUUCUUCAUCUCUUACUAGUAUUGUAUUAGAACAUGACUCAUAUUCUUCCAUCUGGUUUCCUAGUUUGGUUUUAUUUUUAAUAAAUAAAUAAAUAAAAUUAUGGUUGAGUUCUUUUGGGUUUGCAGGUUUUAUCAAAUGAUAGAUUCAAGAGUGUAGAGCACAGGGUAUUGGCAAACCGUGUAGGUCCAAGAGUAUCAGUUCCAUGCUUCUUUACCACAGGUAUGCUACCAUUGGAAAGAGACUAUGGACCCAUCAAAGAGUUAUUAUCAGAAGACAACCCUCCAAAGUACAGGGAGGCGACUGCAAGGGAAUAUACUGCCCACUUCAAUGACAAGGGCCUUGAUGGCACCUCUGCCUUGACUUAUUUUAAGCUUUGAACUUGGAGAUAGAGGAGCAGUGCAGCCCUGAACAAAAUAUUUAGCAGACACCAUUUGUUUACUGUAGCUGCUCCAAUUUCUUUUUUAAAAUUUCAUAAACUGUCUCUGUUGUGGUUUGCUAAUAGCCUUCAUGCACUUGUAAAAUCAUGCUUGCCAGCAAAAGCAGGUUUUUAAGAGUUAUAUGCCUGAUGCAGGAUAUAUGUUAAAGUUAUAAAGUAAGAUAUUUAUCUGUUACUGUGGUUUGAUAGAGUCCUGCAAAUCAUGUUUGUGAACAUAUUAGAUGGAAUCCUGUUUCAAAAGCAGAAUUUUUCAACUAUGAUGAUAUAUUGAAAAGUCUUGAAGUUAAUAAAAUUUUAUAAUCAAUAUCGCAUGUCGGUACGCAAACUCUAAAUAUAGUUAACCCAAAAUGAAUAUAUUAAUGUCAUAAUUUAUUAAAAUUACUUUUGUUCUAUUUCAACUUCCAACAGAUUACUUUUAAACAAAUUUUACUCACUAGAAUAUCCGGACCCUUUUGUCUUGCUCUGCACUCUUCAAAACCAGCAAGUUCAACGAGGAGUUCAUUUUUAUAAGAUUAGCUUGGAGGAUGUGUUACGACAUGCUUUAGUUUAAACCAGAAAAUACACAAAAGUCAAUAUAUUUUUGGCAUUUUCAACUUUGCUCUAUGAUCUUUAUAAUAAAGUGAUCUUCUUUGCAAAAAUAUGCACUUCUGGUCUGAAUCAAAUCUAAUCUGAUAUCCAUUAGACCAGAAUGGUAGCUACCAACACAAAUGAGGUUCAAACAAAUUAUGACAGACAAAGUGAGCUAAAAGCUUUUGAUGACACCAAGGAUGGUGUUAAAGGCCUUGUUGAUGCUGGUAUAACUGAGGUUCCUAGGAUUUUUCAUCAACCACCCGAUGAGCACUUCAUUGACAACACUUCUGAUUCAGAAGCCACCCAAACUCAAUUUAGCAUUCCAGUCAUAGACCUUGAAGGCCUUGCGCUUGAUAGUCCGACGAAACGAAAGGAGAUCGUUGCAAAAGUUGGAGAGGCAUCAGAGACUUGGGGCUUUUUCCAAAUUGCCAAUCAUGGAAUUCCUAUUGGUGUUCUGGAGGAGAUAAAGGAUGGGGUGCGUGGUUUUUUUGAGCAAGACACUGAGGUGAAGAAAGAGCUUUACACUCGUGAUUACUUCCGACCUGUGAUCUAUAAUAGCAACUUUGAUCUAUAUAAAGCACCAGCGACUAACUGGAGGGAUACUUUUAUCUGUUACAUGGCUCCUUACGCAAAGAAGCCAGAAGACUUGCCUGAAGUAUGCAGGUAUAUGUCACAACGAAACUUACAUAUAAUUCUCUGCUAGAAUUUGUAAGUUUAUUUGAUGAUAUUAAUUAGCUUGACAGCUUCAUAAGUGUUUAAACUUUGUAGAGACAUUCUUAUUGAGUACUCCAAGCAAAUAAUGAGGUUGGGGAAGUUGUUGUUCGAGUUGUUGUCGGAGGCUCUUGGGCUGACACCAAGUCACUUGAAUGACAUAGAUUGUAGUGAGGGCCUUGUGCUUCUGUGCAAUUACUAUCCUGCUUGUCCACAGCCAGAAUUAACUUUGGGCACAAGCAAACAUGCUGACAGUUACUUCCUCACAGUCCUUCUGCAAGAUCAUAUUGGUGGCCUCCAAGUUCUUCACAAGAACAAGUGGAUUGAUGUGCCCCCAGUGCCUGGGGCUUUAGUGGUUAACGUUGGAGAUCUUUUACAGGCAAGUAGAACAAUUAUUUUCUUCAUCUUAACAAAGUUGAAACUACAGUAGCUAUAGUAACAAUUAUUAUAAAUCACAAAAAUCAUUUGUUACUUUUGGCUAUUUCAUCAUCUAGUGAUUAAAAUUGAAGAAAUUUUUUGGUGGUGCAUAUAGUAUUAUUGUCGUAGAAUAUGUGUCGAAUGCUUCGAUUUAGUUUCCUACCUUGGGUUUUUUUUUAAGAUGAUGAACUCAUUUCGGGUUGCAGCUUAUAUCAAAUGAAAGAUUCAAGAGUGUAGAGCACAGGGUACUGGCAAACCGUGUAGGUCCAAGAGUAUCUGUUGCGAGCUUCUUCACCACAGGAAUGUUACCGUUGAAAAAACUCUAUGGACCCAUCAAGGAGCUAGUAUCAGGGGACAAUCCUCCAAAGUACAGGGAGAAAAACUGUGAAGGACUUUAAUGCCCACGUCAAUAUCAAAGGCCUUGAUGGAACCUCUGCCUUGAAUCAUUUCAAGCUCUGAACUUGGACACAGAGGAGGAGCACAAUGAACAAAUGAUCUCUACUAAAUAACUUGCAUGCAUGAUACUGUAAGGUUAUUGUUUGUACAUGCAUGACUUAACUAUAAUCUGUUGCGGAAUAAGAUGGCUUCUCAGAUUUUUAUGAUAUUCUCUUGUAAAAUCUUGUUUGUCUACAAAAGCAGAGUUUCAACUAUAACCAGAUUUAAUGCAACGCAAGCCAAUCUUAGAAAACCUGCAAGUUCACUGAGUUGUUCAUUUUUUAGAUGAAGCUACAAGUUUACCAAUCUGGAAAAAAUUUAAAGCUAGACUAGUGAUGGAGAUUGGGCCACAUCUCUAUGACCCAAUAUUGUUUAACUAUUUCCUUUCUUUUCACUGCUUAUCUUGGGUGUCUUCUUCCAUCUCUUUGUUUACAACUCUCUUGUUUUUUUUUUUUUUUUUUACCAGCUAUCUGCCUGUCUCUGUUUUUUCUGUUUCUAGUGGGAGAAGGAAAAAAAGAGACACCCAUGAUCAAUUCAAUCUACACUUUCCGAAUUAAUGCAACUUUAAAAAAAAAAAAGAAAAAAAAAAGAGAGCACACACGCAAGAUAAAAGAGAGCAGAUAAACAAGGAAGAAAACUUGUUCUCUCUAGCUUCUUGAGCACACUUUCUCCUUAGAAUGCUAAAUAUGACAAGUAAAGACUGAUUAUACCACUAAGCCAAAACUAGGAAAGCCAAGCCAAGCCGAGUAUGUGGCUUCAUCCUUACAAAAUAAAGUAGAAUUAAUACAACCAAAAAUAAGACAAGUUUCUGCUAACCAUGGUAGUAGAGACAGAGGAAGAAAAGAGUUUACUGGAAGUUUCUAAGAGUAGAUGAGAAAACUGAAUGAUAUUUCUUACUUAAUCGUUGUACUGUACAGUAUAUAUAUAUAUACAUUUACUUAGUCUCUUUGCUUAAUGAGUAAGUAACUGUGCUAACAGCUGACAGCUAAGCAAAUCAACCUCCUAACAAUUCUAACAGCUCUAACCAAUUCUAACCAUUGGGUAAACACCCCCCCUCAAUCUCAGUUAGGGUGCCUAAACUGAGAUUGGUACAAUGCUUAACAAAUACUGGACUAUGCCCCUUAGUAAGAAUAUCUGCAACCUGAUCAUUAGUAGGAAUGUAUUGAACUAAGAAGUCCUUGCGUUGUACACGUUCUCGAACAAAAUGGAAGUCGACAUCCAAAUGUUUGAUACGAGAAUGGAACACAGGAUUAGAACUGAGAGCUAACGCAGACAUGUUAUCACAAAACAACAGUGGAGGUUCUGAGAGAAAGACAUGAAGAUCUGCAAGUAUCUGACGAAUCCAAGCUACUUCUGCUGAGGCAUUUGCAAGAGCACGGUAUUCAGCUUCAGUGGAGCUACGGGAGACAGACCCUUGCUUCUUAGACUGCCAUGAAAUUGGAUUGGAACCCAAGAAACAACAAAACCUGUGGUUGAUCGUCGAGUGGUAAUGUCCCCAGCCCAAUCUACAUCACUAUAUGCAGACAAAGAAACUGGAACAGAAGAAGAGUAAGUAAGACCAUAGUGCAAAGUCCCUUGAAUGUAGCGCAAAAUCCUUUUAACCAACUGAAAAUGAACCUCUGUGGGAUUGUUCAUAAAUUGGCAAACAGUAUUAACAGAAUAGGCAAGGUCUGGUCUUGUAAAAGUUAGGUACUGAAGAGCACCCCUAUACUGCGGUAUAUUGAUGGUUCCUUUAAAGGUUCACCAUCUGUAGGAAGAACCUGUGUGUGAGGUUUAGAGGGAGUUGGGCAGGACCGACAUGAUUCCAUCCCAGCCUUGACUAAAAGGUCUUUGGCAUACUUCUGUUGACUGAUAAACAGAUCACCAUUCGACUUAUAUGAAAUCUGUAAGCCAAGAAAGAAGGUAAGGGGAACCCAGUCCUUGAGAUCAAAAACUGAACCAAGAUCUGUAAUAACCUCUUGAAUAACGUGAGAGUUUGAACCUGUGAGAAUAAUAUCAUCGACAUAGAGCAAUAAUACAACAAUAGCUGAAUCUGAAAUCUUCACAAACAGACUUGGAUCACUAUGUGACAUUUUGAAACCAAGGGAAGGUAAGUAGCCUGUGAACUUGGCAUUCCAGGCCCUUGGAGCUUGUUUCAAACUGUAUAAAGACUUCUGUAAUUUACACACAUAUUUAGGAUGAGAAGAGUCUUCAAACCCCUGUGGUUGUUUCAUGUAAACCUCUUCGUCAAGAUCGCCAUGGAGAAAGGCGUUCUUGACAUCGAGCUGACGCAAAGACCAGCCAUUAAUAGAAGCCACACUGAGAAUAAGACGAACUGUGGUAUGACGUACCACUGGACUGAAAGUUUCAUCGUAGUCAAAGCCAGCCUCUUGACUAAACCCCUGUGUCCAAAAUGUUUCAAGACCUAUUUGACAGAAACUUAUCUACACCAUUACAACGAGGACAUUAACAUAAUUUUAACAAAAGCAUUAUCCUUUGAUAUCAGCUGCCUUGGGACCACUUCUUAUCCUUAGAGUUGGAUCCAUCCUCUUAUCAACUUAAAGGCUACGCACUCUUCUGCUUUUUCUCUAUAUUCUGGUUGAUCCUCAACCACCUUUUAUGAUCCUAAACCAAAUUAAGAAAAUGUUUGCAGAAGACGAUCAUGAACUCGAGGCUAACAGUGACCGCAUGAGUGAGUUAAAAGCAUUUGAUGCCACAAAAGCUGGCGUUAAGGGACUGCUCUAUACAGAUCUCACAAAAAUCCCAAGUAUUUUCUACUCUUCAUCACGACCAAGCUUCGACGAAAAGAAGCUGCAAAGUGAUGAUGUCCAGUUCAGUGUUCCAAUCAUUGAUCUCAGAGGCAUCCAAAACGAUGCAGUUUCACGUGCCCGUGUCGUAGAGAAAGUUCGACAUGCAAGUGAGAAAUGGGGUUUCUUUCAGGUGGUGAAUCAUGGAGUUCCUGUUGAUAUUUUGGAUCAGAUGAUCGAUGGCAUACGCGGAUUCCAUGAGCAGGACAGUGAGGUUAAAAAAGAGUUCUAUUCGCGCUUUAGUGGCGUAUCAAACAACUCAUAAGAGUCCAGCCCAAUCCAAUAAUCUAAGUCCAAUCCUAAUUAAUCCAGUCAGGUCCACCAAACAAGGCCUAUAUGUUAGUUAAUCCCAUUCCCACUCCCCAUCAGCUCCACCCCUAGGAUGUGGCAAGUACUAAUACCAUUACAAUCUUCUGAAAGCUCAAAAAUAAAAAAUAAGGUUAAUUGUUUUCUUAGUCAUUAAAUUUAGACUCGAUUUGUAUUUGAGUACUUCAAUUUCCAAAAUAGUUCCCGUGGUCCUUUAACUUUAGUUUCGUUAAGAUAAAUGGUUUUGCCGUCAAUUUUGUUAAUUUUUCUGUUAAGUACUAGGGGUAAAAUGGUAUUUUUGUACCAAAAUUGAUUAAAAUAUGAAAAAAAAAGUAAAAAAUUAAAAUUAAACUCUCUCUCUCCCCCUCUAUCCCGAUUUCUACUCCCCACAAACUUUAUUUAUUUAUUUAUUUAGUUUUUUAUUUGAUUUUCUUUUAUUGUUAUUUUAAAGAUAUAAAUUUUUAUUUAUUUUUUUGGUUUUUAUAUAAAAAUACCAUUUUGCCCCUGUAUUUAACAGAAAAAGUUAACAAAAUUUACGGCAGGACCAUUUGUCCAAACAAAACUAAAGUUAAAGGACCACGGGAACCAUUUUUAAAAUUGAGGUACUCAAAUGCAAAUCGGGUCAAAAUUCAAGGACUAAUAAAACGAUUAACCCCUAAAAAAUAUAUGAUUUGCAGUUUGAAAUAUAAGUCAUAAUGACCUUUUAUUUUAACUAAGCAUUUCAUUUUAAAUUGAUAUAACAAUAACGUUAUGCAACCAACAACAGAUGUGAGUUAGGUCAAUUGGUUAAGGUAGUGUGCACAUUCUCUUGCACCUGAAUUUGAUCUCUCUCCAUGUACAUUAGAGUAAUUUAGAAUAUAUCAUCUUUAUAAAUAAAUAAAUAAAAAAAAAAAGAAGUUAUGCAACUAAUAUGAUUAAAAGUUAAUUGCUAUUUUCUCUACCUAAUAAAAAGAAUCUGUGGGCAGGCUGCACGCACAAUAGAACGGUCCAAGAGACUAACGAUAGACCAAACGAAUACAUGGGAAAUAAUUUUCGUGGAACUUAUUUGAAAGAGAAAAUUCAUCUCUGACAAUAACUUAUGGUCAGUUUUUCUUAUAGUCCAAUAUCUAAGGUUGUGCAUUUAAUUUGAAGGAAAAGUCAUAAAGUUUGAGUAGUGGCACUGGCAUGUAGUGGCAAAUUGGCUGCAGGCACCUUCUAAUUGAAUGGUCAAAGUUCCUGGUCAUCACUAGCUGAAAUUCCAAUUGCCGCAUGUUAUAAGUGAAUAAUUUUAUAAGAUUGUUUGAAAAUAAAUUACAGGAGAAAAGAUUUCUUGGUGGCAGGUAUUGAUAUUUGGUUGCUGGUUUUGUUUGGUCGACCACAAUAAUUCUUCGAAUACGUGUAUCGAAGAGUAUCGUAUUCUAUUAAUGUUCGAUGAUAUAUAUUCAACAUGGGAACAAGGGUAUCAACAUGGGAACCCUACUCUUUCUGCUGAUCUCUUCCUUAUUGAAUUGAUGCUACUAGGGCAGAUUGUGGUCUGGUCAAUUGCAUUUUUGGUCUCAAGUAAAAAUAAAAAAUAAAAAAUUUGCAGAAGUCUGCUCUUUCAUUUUGUCCUCAAUCAGAAAAGGUUUUAUUUGGACAGGGCUAUUUUUUUUAUUUAUGCUUGGAGUGUUUAAGGGGUCACUACUACAAAAAAGCAAAAAGACGACGGUAAAUAAUCACCGUCGUGUAUUCGAUUUUUCAAUGGUCGUGGAAUCCACCGUCAUCUUUUCCCUCAUAUACCACGACGCUAAAUCACCGUCGUUGUUAAAAUAUACAACGUCAUCAACAAAUACAAAACGACGUCUUUGUACUGCAAAAAGAUCUAAAAAAGCAGUCGAGGAUGAGAAUAGACGACCAACUCUCUAAAAAAACCGUCGUUAAAAAGGAAAAAUAUGACACAUAUUAAGAGAACAAGGCCGCAAGAUAGACAUACAACGACGAAAAUAAAAAUACGACGCCGUUAAAUAUCAUUUUCACGACAAUAAAAAAUUUGACGUCUUUAAAUACAUUAGAAGACGACGUUAUUGAUACCUACUAUGUCGCAUAUAUAAAAACAGCCGUCGUAAAAUUAAUUUUCCACUUCGAUUUUUCGAUAAAAGAUGAUGUGGAAAUAGUUGUCAGUGUCAUUAUUUACGACGUAUGUAUUUAUUGAGUAGACGUUGAAAAACGACACAACGUCGGUUACAAAUAUAUGAGAGUCGUAUUACAAAAUUUAUACGUCAUAUUUUCAGAAACAAACAACGACGAUAAAUAUUAGACGUUGUUAAAUAAAACAACGUCGGAAAACAAUAAAAACAGACGUGUUUAGUCUGCUAAAGUUCUAGAAAAUAGUCGAGGAUGAGAAUAGACGACCAACUCAAACAAAUCACCGUCGUUAAAAAGGAAAAAUAUGACACAUGUUAAAAGAACAAGGCCGCAAGAUAUACAUACAACGACGACAACUAAAAUUUUACGCCGUUAAAUAUAAUUUACACGACAAGAAAAAAUAUGACGUCUUUAAAUACAUGAGAAGACGACGUUAUUGAAAUAUACUACGUCUCUUAUUUACAAACAACCGUCGUGAAAUAAAUUUUCCACUUCGAUUUUUCUAAAAAAGAUGACGUGAAAAUAGUUGUCAGUGUCAUUAUUUACGACGUAUGUAUUUAUACAGUUGACGUUGAAAUGCGAAACAACGUCGGUGGCAUUUAUAUAGUCGACGUUGUAUUUAUAUCUAUCAUCAUUACUCACGACGCACUUAAUAAUAUAGACGACGUUGAACUUCUAAACAACGUCGGUUCCAAAUAAAUGAGAGCCGUAUUACAGAACAUAUAGACGGCGUUGAUUAUGAUGAGAGCCGUAUUACAAAUAACGUCGUUUAAUUGUUAUUAGACGGCGGUUAUAAUGAAUUUCCGUCGGAAUUCAUUUCGUUCCUCUUCGUUUCUAAAAGAACUUGCGACGUGGAAAAUGUAUGAUGACGUCGUAUUUUUUAACGUUCAGAUUAUAUAUCUCGUUUUUUAGACGUCGGUAUUAUGGGAUUGGAGUCGUGUUAUUUUGAAUUACAUGGCGGUUCUUAAUCCUUCCCCGACGUGAUAUCCUGAAUAAUUGCUUCACAAUUGCGUCGUGGUUCUUCAUUGUUACGUUGCUUUAAGACGUCGGUAAAUAUGCUGAAUAACUGGUUCACAAUAACGUCGUGUUUUAUUUGAACGUAGAAAGUGAAGAAAGCACAUUACAAUAUAUUACAAAAUUAAUGUCAUACACUGCCAAUUACAUAAGCAUCAUUCAAUCCAUAUAUCUUCACACCCAUCUCGAAUAUUUUGACCGCCUAACUCACCCACCAGUUCAUCAAAUGUGUCAACAUUUGGCAUCCCUCUAGUAAAUGGCUCACACUCAAUUAUCACAUCACCUAAGACUUCAUCACCAAUAACAUCAUUAUAUUCUCUAUUAGGCAUUGAUAACACUACCGACCAACCACGAUGCAUCGGGUCGUCAACAAAAAAUAUUUGUUUGACUUGAGAAGCCAAAACAAAUUGGUCAUUCCUAUGUCCAAUUUUACUCAAAUCUACAAGGGUAAAUCCAAGUUCGUCGACUACAAGACCAGAACUAUCUAUCCAAUCACACCUAAAGACUGGGAUUGUAAACUUUUGGUAGUCAAGGUCCCAAAUUUCUUGAAUGACACCAUAGAAACCCACAUUUGAGAGAAUUGGGUUUUUAUCCUUGGCACUAGCAACUUGCAUGGUAUGUGCAAGUAAAUAAACUCCACUAUUUUGAGUUGUCCGCACAUCAUCUUAUGCCUUGAUAUUGAAUUUAAUACCUUUAAUAAGAUAGCUCCUAUAUAAUGGCACUGACAUGUUUGGACCAGCUGCUAGCCACCUUAAAUUUUCUGAUACGCCAUGAUUGUCUUCCUCAAGUUCACUUUGAACCUGCAAAUUAAUCAUAUCUUAAUUCAAUCUAACAUAUAAAUAAGAAGAAAAUUAAAAGAGAAAUAUGUUAUUCAACAAUAUAUACCUUGAAGCGUAGCCAUUGAAUGAAAGUGCUAUUGUGCUUAUCCUGCAGCCACUUUGUUCUCUUUCUAAAUUUUGGAUAAGCAGUCUUGAUGUGAAUCAUAUGUUGCCUACAUGACACGAAAAAUUCAAGCAUUACGGUCCUAAAUAUAGAAGAUAAACAUAAGAAAUAAUUUAAAAUGGAAACUUAAAGAAUAAAGCUCAUACGUACUCGAUAUAAGGUAGGACUUCCUCCGUAUUCUCCAAGACAUAUAGAUGUGCUUGAUUCAACAGGUCCUGAUCAACUACGCUCACUGUGCAACCUGAUAAUGGCUUUGAAAGUCCCAUCUUUUGGCUUGAAGGCACUCCAACUGUACUAGCAUCAGAUAAAUGCUGAGUACAAAACUCUACCGCUUCUUCAGCUAUAUACCGCUCAGCAAUGCAACCUUCGGGACGAGUACGAUUCUGAACAUACCCCUUCAGCACUUUCAUAUAUCUUUCAAACGGAUACAUCCACCUAAAAUAUACUGGCCCACAUAGACGAACUUCUCUGACAAGAUGUACUACUAGAUGAACCAUGAUAUCAAAGAAUGAAGGGGGAAAGUACUUCUCAAGCAAACACAGAGUAACUACUACAUCUUCUUCCAACUUAUCUAGCUUGGAAACAUCAACAGUCUUUGCACAUAUAGCAUUGAAGAAGAAGCACAAACGAGUUAUUGCAUACCUUGCAGGCUUCUCCAAAACAGAACGAAUUGCCACAGGGAGCAAUUGUUGCAUUAAGGUAUGACAAUCAUGUGAUUUAAGGCCAAGAAGUCUUGAAUCUUGUAAAGAUACAAGAUUUUUAAUAUUUGAAGAAUAACCUUCAGGGACCUUCAUACCAUAGAAAGAAUUGCAAACCUCUCUCUUCUCUGCUCUUGACAAAUUCCAAGGCCCAGGAGGCAAACGAGUACGUCUUUCUCCAUACUCGGGUUGCAAAUCAGUUUUGACCCCCAUGUUCAAUAAAUCUAAUCGAGCAGCAAUCCCAUCUUUAUUUUUUCCAGGGAUCUCCAGCAAUGUACCAAUGAUACUAUCGCAAACAUUCUUCUCAAUGUGCAUAACAUCUAGGGCAUGCCUCACAGGAAGGUAUUUCCAAUACUCGAGAUCAAAGAAUAUUGAUUUCUUCUUCCAACAAACUCUGUCACCAUUUUCAACCAUAUGCAGCACUUCUUCUCCGGUUAAUGGCUCGGGAGGUAUGCCAUAUUCAGGUUUCCCAUUAAAAGCUGCACGUUGCCUCCUAUAUGGAUGAUUGAUUGGUAACCAUUUUCUAUGCCCAAUGUAACAAAUUUUGUGGCCAUUUUUCAACCUGUGACUAGGUGUAUCAUCGCCGCAUAUUGGACAAGCUUUAUAUCCUUUAACAACACAACCAGAUAAGUUUCCAUAGGCGGGGAAAUCAUUAAUUGUCCACAUUAAUGCAGCUCUGAGUGUAAAGUAUUCUCCAUUAUGUGCAUCAUACACUCCUCUAAUCCCAACCCACAAGGAUUUUAAAUCAUCAAUCAAAGGCUCCAAGUAGACGUCUAUAUCAUUUCCAGGUUGUUUAGGACCGGAAAUCAAUAAGGUUAACAUCAUGAACUUUCGUUUCAUGCACAGCCAUGGAGGGAGAUUAUAUGUAACUAAGAUAACCGGCCAACAACUAUAUCUGCUACUUAGAGAACUGUGGGGAUUGAAUCCAUCAGAUGAAAGAGCCAAUCUCAAGUUUCUCGGCUCAUUACCAAACUCAGGCCAUUUAUCAUCAAGAAGUUUCCAAGACGGGGAAUCCGCCGGAUGAGACAUCUGACCGUCAAUUGAUUUUCUAGCAGCAUGCCACCAAGUCAGACUCUUAGCUGUCUCAUGUGAUUGAAACAUCCUUUUAAACCUUGGAAUUGGGGGAAAAUACCACACCACCUUCGCUGGCACACCCUCUUUCAAGAUUGAAUCUUUGCCUUCCUUCCACCUUGAGAUACCACAAGUAGGACAAUUAGUUGAAUCCUCAUACUCCUUCCUAUACAAGAUGCAAUCAUUGGGGCAUGCGUGCAUUUUCUCAUAACUCAGCCCCAAUGCACACAAAGUCUUUUUAGCCUCAUACAUGGAGGUUGGUAUUGUAUUUCCUUCUGGAAGCAAAUCGCCUUGAAGUAUCAAUAAUUCUGUAAAACAGACAUCACUCAUCCCAUGUUUUGCCUUCAAAUUAUACAACUUCACUAAUGCCGAUAACUUCGUGUACUUUCUACAACCAGGGUACACUGGUUGAUCUCCAUCCCCAAUCACAUUGGCAAACUCAUACGGAUCCGAACCAAAAUCACCAAAAUCAUUAUCAUCCAUAUCAAUUUCUUCAGACACAAAACUGUACCUACUAUGGCCAUCAUCUUCUUCAACAUUUCUACUAGCAUUAGUAGUUGCUUCCCAAGGUUCUCCGUGAAAUGUCCAAUUCUUAUAGCUUUGGUCAAUUCCAUUAAAGUAUAAGUGAUCCCUUAUAAUUCCAACCCCAAACAACUUCAAAUUAACACAUUUAACACAUGGACAACGGAUAUGUGUUGUAGUUAGAAGAUUUUCUACAGCAAAGUUCAAAAAUGCUUCCACCCCAAAUUCAUAUGCCUUCGAUCUUCUAUCCAAGUGCAUCCAUGACUUAUCCAUCUCCGACACUAUAACCUAUUAUCUAUAAUAAAGUGAAAAUACAGGCAAUGACCAUCACUAUAGCAGAUUAUACAAUGAUCUAAUCGCAAGUAAUACACAACAGAGACGACGGGUUUUAAAUAAAAACAGACGUAUUUGGCAUAUAUAGACGACGGAUUUUCAACAGACGUCGUCUAUUAUAAGUAAUACAAACGACAGUUUAUGAAAAAACCGUCGUGUAUAAGUAAUACAACGACAGUAGUUUAAAAACACCGUCGUGUAAUCGUCGUCGUAUGCCUUAAAAUUCGUCGUGUCUCAGUUUAUUUUCAAGAACACAAAACCCAUUAAGAACACAACAUAUAUAUGAAACCAAGCAAGAAACCAACAUAUACAUGAAACCAAGCAUGAAAACAAUAAAUCCAUUCCCAAUUCAACAUAACAUAGGGUGAUUAAAAGAUACGACAAAAUUAAAUCCAUUCCCAAUUCAACAUAACAGAUAUUUGAUCUUGUCAUGAACCCAUUAAACAGAAAAUCCAUGAACCCAUACCUAUAAGCACAUUAUUAACAGAUCGCAAAGCAUACACAUAAAACCCUUUAACAAAACAACCUAAUAUCAUUCAAUGAAUUUACAAGGGGAAGAUAGGGUUUGUAUUUACAGGUUGGACGAGCUCACAGAUUCGACGGAGCCUGGAGAGUGCAACUUUUAAUUAGAGCAGAAGUGAGAGAGCGAAAUGUUAUGUCGCGCGAAAUCUGAAAAUUUUAGGUUUCAAGGUUCGAAGUAUAAGAAUAAGAGCCAAAUCUAAAAAAAUUUAGGUCGCGCGAAAAUUUUUAGAGUUCGCGCGUUUUAAAACGUCGAAAGAAAAACCAAGGCGAAAGUUCUACACGUACCGACGUAAAUUUAAUAUUCCACGACGGAAACUUCAUUUUUCGGAUUAAGAACGUAAGGCCGUUCAUUUUGAAGCUUCAUUUUUCGGAUUAAUUUUAAAUUUAUUUUGAAUUUUUUAUAUAACGACGACUGAAAAACCACGUCGGUGUUAAGAAAUUAAAGACGUUGUAAAUUAUAUAAACCGACUUACAUAUUAAAAUGACGUCGUUUAAAGAGUAAACCAUGUCGUAUGUUUUUCUGUACGACGUAAAAUAUGUAUUCCACGACGCAACCACCGUCGUUAAAAAUUAAUACCCUAAACCCAUAAAACUAAAUUAUACAAUUUAAAAAAUUAAGUUUAUAAAAGGUUUUAUGGUUUUAAAGCCUAACAUAUACCCUAGACUACCCAAAAAUUAUACUUUAAAAAUAAACCCCAAUAAAUAACAACCCUAAUCUCUAAACCCUAGACUCUAAACCCUAAACCAUAAAACUAGAAGUGAUUUUAUGACUCAUCAAAACAAUUUUGUUUUGGAUGGUCAUUUUAAAUUUUUGUUAUUCAAAAUGAAUUUUUUCAAGGUUUAUGUGGAAGAAAAUAUAUCAAUGACUUCAUAGGAGUUGACUUUUCAAUUUUCUGAUUUAUUUUAAAUUUAUUUUGAAUAUUUUGAUAUAAAAAUAAUAAAAUAUUCUUACCACAACAACAAACCACGUCGGUGUUAAUAAAUUGUAGACGUUGUAAAUUGUAAUAGACUACUAAGUCGUUAAAAUGACGUCGUUAAAAUGAGAAACCAUGGCGGCUAUUUACCUAUACGACGUAAAAUAUAUAUAUCAACGACUUAACCGCUGUCGUUACAUAAACGUCGUCGAUGAUACCCUGAACCCUUAAGAAAUUGAAGAUGUUGUAAACCAUAAACGACUCAAUUGUUCAAAGAACGUCGUCUAACUAUAUUUUUACGUCGUAUUUGUUUAAAACACGAAACAACAAAAUACGACGGUUUUUGACUUUAUUAGGUCGUUGGAAAAGUAUUACACGUCGGUUAAGCAAUUUGUAUGUUUGUUUUUUUUUUAAUUUAAGAAAACCUCAACAAAUUUUUACAUUACAUAUUAUAGAGAAAAUUUGUACAUUAUACAUAAAUAUCAAGUGUUCAAUAAUUGCCCUGUUUAAUAAUUUGGAAAACAAACUCUGCCCAUUCAUUCCGGACUUCAUCAAUGGCUUCUUGGGGGUAUGAAGCUUCCUGGUUUCCCUUGGCAUACUGCAUAAACAAUGACUAUUAGGGUUUAUAAAUAAAAAGAAAUUCAAUCACAGACGACGAUAUUUUUCAUAACCGACGUAGUAUAUCCAUUCAACGACGUUAAUUUUACAUGACCGUCGUUGAUAAUACAAAAAACGACGUGAAAUGUAUGAAGGUAAUUUCUUCUUACCUUAUUCUCAAACCCCAAGGAAGGAUCCAUGAUGAUGUCCCUCAUGAAGCGCAUCACAUAAUACCCGCAUUCGACAUUGCUAGGUUGUUUUGGUGUGCCUGAGAGAGUUUUCCAAAUUACAUUUUUACGUCCUGCUCGGGCUAUGUGGGUAUUAUAUAUUUUUAAAGCACUGUUCACGAUGUUUUUCGCCUCUUCGUCGACCACACGAUGACCUGGCAGAGGAUCCAGAAAAUAGACGGUCUCCUUCUUUGCUCUUACAAUCAGCAAGAUCCAAUGACGGCUGCACAAAAUUAAUAUAAAAACGACGGUUAUUUACAAAAACGACGUAUUAUAGUAUUUCACACGACGAAAUAAAGUAGAUAACGACGACAUUAUAUAUUUAUCACGACGACAAAUAAAUACCGACGUGGUUAGUAGUUUCAAACGACUAAAUAAAAUAAAACACCGACGUGGUUAGUUUAUAAUCUGUCAUUUAUUGAAAAUCAUAAAAACAAAAUCCUAAGGAGACUAACCCUGGAUUGUAAGGCAUCAUGAAAAGCUGUUCACCGUCUGUCUUCUGAAGUCGAGCUGCUACCAGUCGUGAUCUUUCAGUUAUUGUGCCAGAGUUGGCACUAACUGUAGCAGGGUCAAUAAAGCCAACCAUGCUGCACAUAUUGGCUUGUUUCAAAACAUCGUGUAAGUACCUAAAUACAUAAAAUAAUAUAAACAAGUCAGCAAAAACAAACACGACGGUUAUGUAUAAAAAAACGACGUAUUAUAAUAUUUCACACGACGUACUGAAAUAGAUAAGGACGUUAUAAUAUAUUUAUCACGACGGUAGUUAGUUAAGACGACGUGGUUAGUUAGUUAAGACGACGCAAUAUAUAAACCAACGAGUUAUUAUCUUAGAAGUACAAACCUCAUAUAUACAGCCAAUACAGUAGCUCCAAUUUCUUCCAUGCCUGCAAAUUGUGUAAUAUCUUCAGGCAGGAGGAAGGUAUCGCGCUCACCACCAAACACCUCCUUAUCAAUUGUAAAUUGGAGUGUCUUAUCCUCAGGCAGGAGUGUCGUAUCCACAAAACGACAAAGGGUUUUUAAAGAAGAUAGCGCCUCCAUAUUUGAAUAAGCACCAACUUCAAUAACCUGUUUAAAGAAAUAAAAAAAAUGACGUGGUAAUUCAAUAAAGACGACGGUUUAAGGAAUAAAACGUCGUCUUAAAAGGAUUUAAACGACGGUGAAAAAAUUGUCGUGGUAAUUCAAUAAAGACGACGGUUUUAUUAAUAAAGCGUCGUCUGAAACCAUUUAAACGACGGUGCAAAAACCGUCGUUUAAAUAUUUUAUUACGUCUUAAAAAAAGUCCGCCGUCUAAGUUUUAAACAAACGACGGAUUAUAUAAAAAUAUCGACGUCUGAAAUUUUGAAAAACAAAUAAAAAAGGCAAAGUUAUGUGAACAUACCUUGUCGUCAUGCUUUUCUUCAUCUUCUUUCUCCUUUUCUUCUUCCUUCUCUUCAUCUCUUUUUUCUUCUUCCUUCUCUUCAUCUGGCUGAUGUUUCCCCAUUUUGGCAGUAUCAUCCUCCAAAUGUAGGGAUCUCACAUCACCUCCAGAGCAGCUAGCUUUGUCAGACAUUGGAUUUUUGGGGCUUUGGCUAAUUCUUGGUUUAAGCAUGCUUGGAUCAAAAUUGGGAAUUAAUUGGGAAAGCUGACUCAGGAAAUGCUCCCUCUCAGCCUCUACCAAUUGUUUUGUCCUAGCCUCCAUCCUUAAGGCCUCUUUCCUUGCCUUAGCCUCCAUCUUUUUAGUCUCUUCUUGAAGGAGAACUCUUAAACUGUCCUUCAAACGGUCGUCAAAGCUCACCCUCUGUGGUUUGGGCAAAUUGAAAUAUUGCCUUGGGGAAACACCAGCACCAACUCCCCUCAGUCUGCCUGGAUGCUCGGGGCCCAAAGCCAUGGUCAGCACAUCAUUGCUGCCAUCUACUCUGACUUUGCCUUCCGAGACUUGUUUCUGCAAUUCAUCCUAAAAAAAGAUAAACAAAAAAACACACGACGGUUAUUUAUGUACAAACGACGUAUUAUAUAAUUUCACACGACGCAAUAACGUAUAAACCGACGUUAUUAUAACUUAUCACGACGGUAGUUAUACCGACGUGGUUAUUUAUUUAAAACGACGAAAUGAAUAAACAACCGACGUCUUAUGCUAUAAUUAAAGAUAACAGAGUAGUGAUUCUUAUUUAGACCGUUAACGACGUUUUUAAAAAAGUUUCGGCGUGGUAAUAUCAUUCACACGACGCGAAAAUGAACCACCGACGUCUUAUGCUAUAAUUACAGAAAACAUAGUAGUGAUUCCUAUUUAGACCUUUAACGACGUUUUUAAAAACUUUUCGACGUGGUAAUAUCAUUCACACGACGAAAAAUAUAACAUACGACGUAAUAAGAAUAAUUCACAGUUUAAUAAAAAUUUAAAACAGAGUGAUAGUAGGCUUACAAUUAAUUUUGCUUUCUCUGCCACCUUUGGAUCAGGGAUGUUACCAUGUUUGUCCUGUCUAGCUCUCUUUCAUAAGGUAGAUCGAUCAAUUUCUACCCCAGGCAUGGUUUCCUCCAAUUGAUCCUCCAAUCCAGCAUAUCCUUUUCGAGACAAUCGAUGAUUGUACUCGAGUUUCUCCCUAAUCUGUGCAUGUUGAGAAUGCACAGACUCAAAAUCUUUGGAUAGCCUUGAAGCUACAAAGGCAUCCCAUUGUGCUUUCUCUAUGAAUUUAUAUGUUUCAGGGGGUUGGCUUAAUUUCUCCCUGUCAUUGGUGUAUGGAAGGAUAUAAUGCCUCGUUAGUGUAGACUUGAAAUCCUUCCAUUUCUUGGAAGCAGAAGCUAAAACAGAGGUCUUGCCCCCUUGGCCUACGACAAAAGCCAUGUCAACUGCUUCCCAAAUCUGCUCCUUUAUAUCCUUGGGGAUUUGGGACCAUUUCUUGUCCACAAGUGGGAUCCUGGAGCGUGCCAACACACCAAUAUACGACUGCAUCUCAAUAUGUGCUUGGCCAACACCUUUCCCCCUUUUAUUGUACUCAACAAUUGGCCUCAGUUUCUGAAGCUUUCUCUUCACAACACGAGGCAUUGUGCUCAUACCUCGACCAGUCUUUGAAUCAUCAGAGAUUGUUGUCUGGCUGGUUUGUUCUGUCUCAGCAGAUGAUGAAGCAAACUUCAUCUUCUUCGAAGACUUCAUCUCCUUCGAAGACUUGUCUUGAGGAGCUACCAUUCCAAGCUUCUUGGAGCAAGAAUCCUUAGUUUGUUGUUGAGAAACCAUUUUAACAGACAAAACUGCAAGUGAAAAUAUUUCAGGAAAACAUUAAGAACACAAACGACGGUAUUAAAAAAAUACGACGUAUGAUAUGAUUUUAGACGACGCAAUGAAAUAAUCUCAGACGUAAUAAAUGUUUAAAACCAUUAUUUAUAUAACGUCGUGGUAUAUAUGUUCACACGACGUCAAUAGUAAUACACCGUCGUGGUAAACUAUUAUUUAUAUAACGUCGUGGUAUUUAUGUUCAUACGACGUCAAUAGUAAUACACCGUCGUGGUAUUAACAUUCACACGACGUAAAACAAUAAGAUAUUUUGUCGUCUAUAUUAGAUACCAACCCUAGUUUCUUUUUCUUUAUAUUUUAUCAAAUAAGGGAAAAACAAAAACCAUUGUUCAGAGAAAUCAAACCUGCAAUUAAACAAGCAUAUAAAAAAAGACUAUUAUUUUAAAAACAACUUUGUCAAUUUUCAGACGACGCUAGAACAACUGACGAACCGUCGUGGUCUACCGUCGUCUUAUUUAGUUGAUGUAGUUGUCUUCAAAGUUGGAAACUUUCCCUCUUUGUCUGUAUAUUUUAUCAAACUUGGAAAGAAGUAAAAUGAUUUUGGCCAGAAAAAAGGUCAAAAGAUUUUUCAAACAAAAAACGUAUGAGCAUGCAAAACAGUAACCAAAAUAGUGAAAAUGAAAGCUUACCUUUUGCGUGCAAUGAAAGCAAGAGGAAGAUGAUCGAUGUUUAAGUUCAGAGACGACGAAGAAGACGAGAGGAAGACGAUGAGAAACUCUGACAAUGCUCUGACAAGGAAAAAGACGAAAAGGUUUCUCUGGGAGAUUGAAAUUUUUAAUCGGGUUUAGAAACAGUGCAUGUGUAAGUCGAAAAGUUGCUUACAUAUAAAACCAUUUCAAAAAAAUAAUACGGCGGUUACAUUUAACUACGUCGUUUUUAACUAACACGACGCAAUAUUUUUCGUUCGACGUGGAAUCAUUUCAUUUAACGUCGUUAGGUUUAAUAUAACCGACGUGGAUUUUAAUUUUUAAAUUAUGAAUAGAAUUUUUUUUCCCGUGACCUUUCAGUUUAUUUUUCAAUUACAGUGCGUUAUAAAUAGAGUUUUUUUUCCGGAGGAAAUUUAAAACGAAGGAAAUUAAUAUUCUGCAAUAUGUAAAGUUUCUUUUUUGGAUGACAGAUUUAAAUAAAAUAAGAAUAUAAAAACAACAAAUGUGUAAGUCAAGUAGACGAAAAGUUGCUUACAUAUAAAACCAUUUCAAAAAAAUAAUACGGCGGUUACAUAUAACUACGACGUAUAAAUUACAAAAUACGACGGUACAUUUAACUUCGGACGCGGUAAAUAAAUACGACAGUAGUUUGUAGGUACCGUCGUAGUAAACUCAAAAAUUAAAGUACAUAAGUAAUAACUCGCGUCAUGGUAGAUUAUUUAACACGUCGUUUUUAUUAAUUUACCGACGUGGAUUUUUGUAAUAUACGUCUAUCAUACCGACGUUGAUUUUACAAUUUAAACGGCGGUUGUUUUGUAAGGACUGCCGUUGAUUUUAAAAAUUUAUUCUAUAAAUUUGUCGCUUUCAUUCAUUUUCGGUUUACAUUUAAGGUUCCAAGUUCUUCCUCUCUUACUCGCAUCAAAUAUAUGUCCACAAGAAGAAGCUUGUCAACUAGCCUUCUCACUUCCUUGAUCAAGCCUGAUAGGACACUUAGUGCUUCUGAAUACUCCUUGCUUUCCAUCAAAAGAGAUGCAAGCCUGGCCUCCACUCGCUGUCGAAGGAAAGUUCGCUUCUCAGGGAAAUCUGAAGAUCAGAUGUGCCUGAUCCUCUGCUUGAUUUUCUUGCCUAAGAAGAUCCGUCGGAUUUGUGAUAGCCUCUUCCUUUAUCCGUAGAGCUUCAGAAGAAGAAGAUGGGUUUCAAGAAUGAGAUAAAGAAUAGAAAUGGCUUCAGAUGGCCUCUAAAGCAUGAGCAAUUGAAUCAGUAGUUUCUGGGAGAUAUGAUGAAGACAUUGUCAAUGCUUUGAACUACACAAGUCCUGCAGAAAGAUAUGUUAAAGAAACUAAAACAACGGCGGUUUUCUGUUCUACCGUCGUCUUUUAUCGUCGUCUAUAUUAAGUUAAGAUGGCGGUAGAUUUAUAAUUACCGACGUAGAUUAUUUUGUUAAACGUCGUUAAGUGUACUACAACCGACGUGGAUUUUAAUUUUAAAUUAUAAAUAGAGUUUUUUUUCCCGUAUUCUUUCAGUUUUAGUUUUCAAUUCCAAAGCGUGAUAAAUAGAUUUUUCUUUCCCGAGGAAAUUUAAAAUGAGGGAAAUUAAUGUUCUAGAAUUUGUAAACUAACACGACGCAAUAUUUGCAAAUCUGUGUCAUCUGUUAAGAUUAUGAUGUGGAACAGAGUUCCAUCUGGUAAGAUUUCGUAACCCUUGGGAUCUCAGACAAAUCUGAUUAUGUCGGCGGUGUUCUAUAUAAACCGUCGUGGUUAUUUCAAUUCUUGUCAUUAAGUAGAUCUACCGACGUAGGAUAAGAAAAUCAAAGAAAAAAAUUGUUAACAAAAAUUCUUAUUAAGACGACCGUUAAAAUUAAAGGUACGACGUAUAAAAUGAAUAAAUACGACGAUAAAUUUUAUUGUACGAUUUAAAGAUAACGUCGUAGAACUAUACGAGAAUGACGUCGUUAUAUUUAUAUUUUCCGUCGUUGUAAAUUAAUUUAAUACGGCGAUAUUUUGUAUUUUAAAGCCGUAGAUUUGUUUGUAAUUAUACGGCGUCUUAUACGAAAACCUCGUCGUGUUAUUUUAUGAGUAAAAACGGCAGUUUUUAUUGAAAUCGUCGUCUUUACUUUCUACGUCGGUCGAUUCAUAACUUCUGCCGUUCUUUGUUGGCAUUGAUUUUACACUGCGAAAAUCUGUUUCAAAUAGACGUCGGUUGUUUAAUUAUGUACGUCGUUGUUUUUGAACAGCCAUUUGAAACUCCAUUUUUUAGUUGUCUAAGGUUGUAUUACACGACGGUGUUUUUAGAACCGUCGUCUUUUUAUAAACCACGACGGUUUUCACUUAGACCGUCGUUGUUUUCUGGUCGUCUUUUUCACUUUUUGUAGUAGUGGGUUGUCCAAUCUUCUUCUUGAAAAAGUGGUAUUGGUGCCGUAAUUCGUGAUCAUCUUGGCUGACAUUUCAAAUUCCUCUAUUUUUAGGACAUUCUUCUCACCAUUUUUAAGCCACCAGAGAAGAUUUCGAGGAAAAAUUGGAAGUAGGUAUGGGGACUCAGCCCGAUAAAUAAUAUAUUUAUUUUUAAAUAAUGUAUAAUAUAAAAUAACAUAACCAUGUAUGAUUAUAAUAUAGUAAAUAGAGUAAAAUAUUUAUUUAGUUCUGUCAUGUUGAAUUGACAUUAUUUUGAUUGGUUGAUUUAAAUUUUAUAAUUUAAUUGAAUGUAAUUGAGGGAAAUGAUAAUUUAAGGUGAAAUGAAAGUAUUAUAUAUCUGAUAAUAUUUUAUUAAAACCGGGAAUUCGUAAAGGUUUGGAAGGUGGUCCUAAGACAAGGAUGGGGGAAUCUCCAAAAAUCCUUACGGGGACGCCAAAAGAGAGGACUCUUCCAUGGGAAGAGUUUGAUCCGCACACGAUAGGUUCUUUUUCAUGAAAUUUCACAAAAGGAAAGCAGCAGAAUUCUUGUUCAUCUUAUCAAGACAUAAAUGGUAAAAUGUUAAUUGUCCUAAACAAGAAGAGUCAACAUUCUGCUUAUACGCGUUGGUUUGCCGUUGUUAUGAGUUGACAUACUGAAUGAGAAACUUUCUGGUGUCUUGAGAGUUUAGGUAUGCUUUUAUGUGUGUUUUCAUGAGAGUUCGAACUUAAAAUUACUGGUAUGCAAAUAAAAACUUUUUUUAACUAAGCUAGACCGCUUUUAUGUUUUGGGGAUCGUUACAUUCCUACGCGUAUGACAUGAGUUUUGGCUGAAGCAAUUUCACGUUAUGGUGGAUGUUUCACGCAAGGACUGAGCACAAGAAUCUUCAUGUAUAUUAAAUAUGAUAUACCCGACACUACUUAAGCAGUUAUUUUCUGAAUUAUGAAUUGAUUAACCCUUGCGUUCUAGAUCUUCAACCAAUUUACUAUUCUACAUAGGGACUAAAUUAAAGUAUAAAUAAUUGAAGUAAAUGAGUGUGGGCGCGCGACGCACUUACGUUUUUUUCUUUCUCAUUCUUUGUUUUUUUGUUGACUAAAACCAGAUGAUCAAAUAAUGUUAUGUGUUUCAAAUUCUUAAAAUAAUGUUAUGUCUAAAUUUGUCAAACCUAUGGGGUAGACUAAUUAAACUAGUGUAAACAAUUACGGAAAAUAUAUUGCUUUGUUGCUUUUGUUUUUUCGGGGUCAGAAAACUGAUCAAACAAAAAAACAAAUUGAAAAUGUUGUCAUCGCUGAUCAAACUGAAUGCCCAUUAUUAGGGAUUAAAGAUUAGCUAAAAUGUAAGGGAUUUCAAAGGCAUGAUCUUGUAAACAAUUUAUAAUACACGUUUCAUCAUUCCGCAUUGAAAAUUCAAACUUUGGGAUGAAUGACUUAUCUUCUUGGGAAUUCCUGUGGAGCCUAUAAAUACUGCUGUACAUUGUUGGACAAAAGCACUAAUUAGCUCCUCCUCCUACAAACUUCCUUGAGCUUUUGUUCCCAUCAUCCUCCUAUAUAUCUACUUUCUACUUAGACAAGGGCUUUUACAGUUUUAUACUUAAGAGUCUUUUUGUUAAUCACGUACAUUGUUUUGAUCCAGAAAAAAAAAAAAAAAAAAAAAAAGAAAAGAAAAAUGGUGGCCGUAACCGGAGCACAUGAGAGGUUGGGAAGUGGUGCCAAACUCAGUAUCCCAACCAUUGAUCUUAAGGGCAUCGAUAGCAACUCAGUUUUACGAACUGAAGUUGUCGAGAAAAUUCGAGAUGCAUGUGAGAAAUGGGGUUUCUUUCAAGUUCAAAACGGAAUUCCUGUUGAAGUUUUGGAGAGGAUGGUGGAUGGGAUACGUGAGUUCCAUGAGAAGGAGAAUGAGCUUAAGAAACAAUUGUGUUCAAACUCAACGGAUUCUGGGAACAAGGAGCAGUAUAUGUCCAACAAUCGCUUUUUCAAAUCUUCACAGGGAAACUCGAGGGAUUCGUUUGUGUGCUAUAUGGCUCCUGAUCCAACCAAACCAGCAGACGAAUUACCCUUAGUGUGCAGGUAUGCAUGGCACUACAUAUUAAAUAAAUUUUUAUAUAUGUAAUAUUAUAAUACACUCUAGUCUAACCAUGCAUUAUAAUUUUUAUAUAUGUAAUUUUCUUUGUGGUGGUAACAUGGUAACAUGGUGUUACCAUGUAUUAUAACAUGAAUGAAUGAGGACUUUAUACCUGGUACAAUAUUAAUAAUUUAUUUAUUUAUUUAUUGUAAUACGGUAUAUUGGUAACAUCAGAACACGGGUUUUGCAUUUGCACGUCAAAAAAUUUACGUUUGGCAUCCCAUAUUAUUUAGAUAGUCAACCCAAUCUCUAACAUGCAAGAUAAUACAUGUCUUGUGAAAAAUAAUUUCCUUAUAAUACAUAAGUUCAUGGAAGUUGAUCCUCUUUUAUACAUAAACUAAAAUCUGUACAUGACUUCCCUGCAUGGUUAGAUUAUAAUUUGCACCUUUUGGUGUUUUACCAUUACUUUCAUCAUUCGGUAAAUGAAAUUGAUGACUUGGAGUUGCAGAGAUAUAGUGAAUGAGUACUCAAAGCUAGUGAAGGAUUUGGGAUUUACUUUGUUUGAGUUGCUUUCCGAGGCUCUUGGGCUUAAGCCAAACCAACUUAAGGACGCGUACAUGGACUCUGUUGAGGGGCUUUCUAUUAUGGGUCAUUACUAUCCACCGUGUCCUGAAACAAAAUUGACUAUGGGCACCGGCAAGCACACUGAUGGCUGCUUCAUCACCGUACUUUUACAAGAUCAAGUGGGUGGCCUCCAAGUUUUGUAUGAGGAUCAAUGGAUUGAUGUUCGCCCCAUCCGUGGAGCUCUUGUCGUCAACGUUGGAGACCUUCUGCAGGCAAGUUCAUUAUUACAAUUAGAUAGCCAAAUUUUUCGUUGCAUGAAAUCUAUCAAUAACAAAUAAUAAAAAAGAUUAUAUAUAUGAAGUUUUAAUAAACUUAUUAUGUGUUGUUUUUGUGCAGCUCAUCUCAAAUGACAAGUUUAUUAGUGUUAAUCACAGAGUUAUCGCGCAGAGUGUAGGCCCAAGAGUUUCUGUGCCAACCUUUUUUAGACCACAUGCAGAAAAUCCAAAAGCUUAUGGACCAAUCAAGGAGUUGUUAUCAGCAGAAAAUCCCCCAAUCUAUCGGGAAACUAAUGUUAAAGAUUAUCUGAAGCACUACCUCUCAGAACUGGUAAAGGGGAACUCCGCAUUAGAUAAUUUCAAGCUAUGAGGGAUAAUAAAAGCGCUUUGCUUUUGAUUCUAGGUACCGUUGUUAAUUUCUCCGUCAUCGUGGCUCUGUUGGCUGCAGGCUGUGCCUCUGGUCCUCUCCUAUGGCUAGGUUUUUUUAUUUUUCAGUGUCCUUUUGCUUUUUAUUUUAGGCCCACUUGUUUGGUCGUCCUAUUUGUGGUCUCAAAUUGUCUGUCUGAGAGUCAAUUAUUGUUAUGACGUGUAUGCUCUUCUAAUAAAAGUACUUUUGGAAACAAAGAAGAUAAAUAGUACAACUUUCUUGUAGCGUGUGAUGACAUCAGUUUUAAGCUAUGAAAGGAUAAAAGGGGUUGGCGUUGUCGCAGGUGCAUUGAAUUAUUUGUUACUCUUUACUCUGUUCUCUGUCAUCGUGGUCGUUGCUGCCGUCAACUCUGUUGGCUGCUGGUUGUGCCUCUGACUAGGGCAAGAAUUUUUUUUAGUCUCCUUUUGUUUUCUAUGAGGGGCCCAUUUGUUUAGGCCUCUUAUUUGUGGUUAGAUUUUGGUGGCGAGUUUGUCCGUUGGACUUGGUCCUCUCUUCUAUUUUUGGGUAUUUUAUUCUAGACUCAUUUCAUGCUAAAAAUGUUGACAAAAAUCCCUGUAUUACGCUUAUUCAAUCGAGACCUAAUUUGCAUUAGUUAAUACUUAUAUUUCCAUGACUAUUUUGCUCUAUAUAAUCCUUGCUUUAAGACUAUUGUAAUGGCUAUAAAAAAAAAAAAAAAAAAAAACCAUAAAAACAUACACACCAAUUUGUAAUACACAUAAUAUAGAUAUAAUUUACCUAAACAAAAGGUCAAAAUGAAGAACACAUGUAUAAAUGAAGAAAAAAUGCAUGAGCAAAAAUAUAAAAUUGGGUUGCCUUAACAAUAAGAAGACAAAAAAAAAUGUAUAUGCAAUAUGCAUAAAACUCACACAUCGAAUCACACACACGCAUAAUUAAAAUGUCAUAGAGUUCAAACCUAAGACCUCUGGUCUACAAGAUCAGACCCUUUUUCACUCGGCAAGAACCCAUUGGCUUUACCUUCAUUUUGCUCCUGAUUUUCUCCACCCAUUAAUAUGUUUUCUUUGGGUGAUAGUCUAAACUAAAAGGGAUGAAGUUUCUCAUAAACACGCACACUUAACUAAAAUGCCAUAGGGUUCAAAUCUGAGACCUCUAAUCUACAAGAUCAGGCUCUUUUCCACUCGACUAGAACCCAUUAGCUUUACCGUUCAUUUUGCUCCUGAUUUUCUCCACCUAACAAAAAGAAGAAUUUGUUCACACUGCACGCACAAAUAGAACGUUCCAAGAGGCUAACAACAUACCAAAAGAAUAACUCGGAAAUAAUUUUCUGGGAUCUUAUUUGAAAGUCCAUUUAAAGAAAAUUCAUCUCCGACAAUAAUAACUAAGCGCAUGUAAUUUUUCUUAUAGUCCAAUUAAGCUUGUAUAUUAAAUUUGAAGGAAAAGUCAUAACGUUUGAGUAGUGGCACGUAGUAACAAAAUUUUCUUGGUCACAAAGUAAUAAAUUGCUUUACUUUUCUGGAAGUAGAAAUUUGCUGUCGGAUGGGAGAAAACGUUUUGACUGUAGAACAUAUAGCAAACUGAUGCUGGCACCUUCUAAUUGGAUGGUCAACGUUUCUGUUCACUAGCUGAAAUUGCAAUUGCGACAUGUUAUAAGUGAAUAAAUUUAUAAGAUUGAUUUAAAAUAAAUUAGCAGGGAAAAGAUUGUUGGUACCAAGUAUACCUAGUAUUGAUAUUUGGUUGUUGGUUUUGUUUGGUCGAUAUUAUUAUUAUUAUAACCAAUAAUUCUUCAAAUACAUAUAUAAUAUAGUAUUAGAUUGUUAAAUUUUAGGGAGAUGGUCAACAGCUAGCCCACUAUUAAUAACACCGAUAUUAUUAUAAAAGACCUCAGUUAUAUUAGUAAUAGAAUCAUUCAUUUUAUGUUAUAUUUUAUUUAGUUAAUUUUCUAAUAUGAGAAUGUAACUUAUAUUAUUCAACAGAUACUACAGAACAAUCACUUUCUGAAUAUGAAUUGAUUAUAAGUGUUGCUUUCUAGAUCUUCAAUUAAAUUCCUGCCUGAAGUAUAAACAAUUGGAUAGUAAAUAGGGUCGGCUAUAUAUUGUUAUUAUAUGCAGCCAGUCUUUUUCGUGAUAAAUAAAAUUAUUUUUGGCUGCACAGGAAGAGAUCUAUGUCCUUUUUAUCUUUCUUUUUUUUCAUUUUGGAAUUCUUGUGCAGCCUAUAUUAUAUAUAUAUACAAAAAUUCUCCUAUACGGACGUUUGGAUGUUAUUAUCGUGCGAACACCAUAUAUUUUUUAAUACGCCUCAAUUAUUUCUUCUCUAUUUACAAUGACAUCCGCACAAUAAUAACUUUGUGGACAUCUAUAUAUAGCUCUACUUGUUAAUCACGUACGUUGUUUGAUAAAAAAAUAAAAAAAAAUUGUUGGCCACAAUACGAGCAGAUGAGAGGGAGGGAACUGGUGCCCAAUUAAGUAUCCCAACCAUUGAUCUUCAAGGCAUGACUGAGCACUAGAAUCUUCCUUUAUAUCAAAUAUUAUAUAUUAUUGUACCAGAUACUACUGGGGUAGGCAGUUACUUUCUGAAUUAUGAGUUGAUUAACCCUUGCUUUCUAGAACUUCAACCAAAUUACUAUUCGAAAUAGGGACUAAAUAAGCUUUGGUCCAAUGACGUGCUUUCUAGGUUGAAUUACGUUUUUAUUGUCUAAUUUGUUGUGCUGACCUUUUUUUUUUCAAACAGAUUGUUUGCAAAUUUGCCAAUGAAUGCUCAUUACUGUUAAUUUUUUUUAAUAAUAAUUUCAGUCAAAUUUGUAUCUUUAAUCAAAAUUAGGUGUUUUGGGAUAUACUCAUUGGUGCAUAGGCAAAUUUGACUACGUGAUUAUUUGUCAGAAUUUUAUUUAAAUACAUGUUUUUAAAGUAAAUAUGCCUCUACGUAUAUUAUGGAACUUGCGAAAUUCGUAGGAAGGGUGGGUCUUUGUCUUCAUAUUUUUUUAAAAACUUACCCUACCUAUACACAAUCUAGGUAAAUUAGGUAACUUACCUUACCUAUACACAUUAUGUAUAUAUAUAGGUAAUGUGUCAAACCUAUAUGGGUACACUAAAUUAUUCUGAACAAUGCGAAAAAAAUAUCAUGCUUGAUAUGGGAACUUUUCAAAACUGAUAUGGUUAAGUUGUCAUCGCUGAGCAAAUUGAAUGCCCGUUAUAUGAGGAAUAAAAGUAGGGAGGUUGAAAAGAAAGGAGAAUCCUGGUCAUAGGGCAUGAGUUGUAAAAAAUUAAAAAUACAUGUUGUGUGUCAUUACAGGCAUUGAAUUCAAACUUUUGGUUUGGAAUUCCUGUGCAUGCAGCCUAUAAAUAUGUUGCUACACAUUAUAGGCCAAAGCACUAACUCCUCCUCCUACAAACUGCCUUAGUAAUAUCUCCUUAUACCCCUCCUCUUCUGCUUGUACUUUCUAAUUAGCUUGUCUAUUUGUUAAUCACGUACAUUUUUUGAUCCAAAACCAAAAAAUAAAAAAAAAUGGUGGCCGUAACAAGAGCAGAUGAGGGGCUGGGAAAUGGUGCCCUCAGUAUCCCAACCAUUGAUCUUAAGAGCAUCAAUAGCAACUCAGUUUUACGAACUGAAGUUGUCGAGAAAAUUCGAGAUGCAUGUGAGAACUGGGGUUUCUUUCAAGUUCAAAACGGAAUUCCUGUUGAAGUUUUGGAGAGGAUGGUGGAUGGGAUACGUGAGUUCCAUGAGAAGGAGAAUGAGCUUAAGAAAGAGUUGGGUUCAAACUCAAACGAUUCUGGGAACAAGGAGCAGUAUAUGUCCAAUAAUCGCUUUUUCAAAUCUUCACAAGGAAACUCGAGGGAUUCGUUUGUGUGCUAUAUGGCUCCUGAUCCAACCAAACCAGCAGACGAAUUGCCCUCAGCGUGCAGGUAUGCAGCGCAAAUUUUUAUUUAUGUAAUAUUAUAAUACACGUCUAACCAUGCAAUUAGGGUUGGAGAGAAAUUUUCUUUUGUGGUGGAAACAUGGUAACAUGGUGCUACCAUAUAUUAUAACAUGAGUGAAUGAGGACUUUAUACUUGGUACAAUAUUAAUAAUAUAUAUAUAUAUACUUAUUGUAAUAGGUUGAAUCGGUAACAUCACAUGGUGGGUUCUGAUAAUAUAUGUCCUCAGAAAAAUAAUUUCCUUAUAAUACAUAACUUCAAGGAAGUUUAUCCUCUUUUAUACAGAAACUAAAAUCUGUUGCACCUUUUACUGUUUUACCAUUAUUUUCAUUAUUUGGUAAAUGAAAUUAAUCAGUGAACUUGAUGACUUCGAGUUGCAGAGAUAUAGUGAAUGAGUACUCAAAGCUAGUGAAGGAUUUGGGAUUUACUUUGUUUGAGUUGCUUUCUGAGGCUCUUGGGCUUAAGCCAAAUCAACUUAAGGACGCGUACAUGGACUCUGUUGAGGGACUUUCUAUUAUGGGUCACUACUAUCCACCAUGUCCUGAAACAAAAUUGACUAUGGGCACCGGCAAGCACACUGAUGGCAGCUUCAUCACCGUACUUUUACAAGAUCAAGUGGGUGGCCUCCAAGUUUUGUAUGAGGAUCAAUGGAUUGAUGUUCGCCCCAUCCGUGGAGCUCUUGUCGUCAACGUUGGAGACCUUCUGCAGGCAAGUUCAUUAUUACAAUUAGAUAGCCAAAUUUUUUCGUUGUAUGAAAUCUACGUACUAAUACCAAAUAAUAACAAAGAUUCUGUAUGAAUGAAGUUUUAAUAAACUGAUAAUUAUGUGUUGUUUUUGUGCAGCUCAUCUCAAAUGACAAGUUUAUUAGUGUUAACCACAGAGUUAUCUCGCAGAGUGUAGGCCCAAGAGUUUCUGUGCCAACCUUUUUCAGACCACAUGCAGAAAAUCCAAAAGCUUAUGGACCAAUCAAGGAGUUGUUAUCUGAAGAAAAUCCCCAAAUCUAUCGGGAAACUAGUGUUAAAGAUUAUCUGAAGCACUACCUCUCUGAACUGGUAAAAGGGAACUCCGCAUUAGAACAUUUCAAGCUAUGAAGGGACAAAAGGGCUUUGCCUUUUGGUUUUGGCUACUAUUGUUUCUUGCUCUGUUAGUUUCUCUGUCAUCGUUGUCGUUGGUGCCGUCGACUCUGUUGGCUGCAGGCUGUGCCUCUCAUCCUACGGCUUGGAGUUUUUAGUGUCAUUUUACUUUCUAUGUUGGGCCCAUUUAUUUUGUGGUAUAGUUUUGUUGUUGCUUGGUGACGAGUUUGUAUGUUGUUGGUGUUGGUCCUCUCUGAUUUUUAUAGCAGCUUGUGUUUCUCUCUUGCGGUCUCAAACUGUCUUAUUACGUGUAUGCUCUUCUAAUAAAAGUACUUUUGAAAAGAGAAAAGAUAUUUGUGAAAUUGAUGCCGCAUAUAGUACAACUUUCUUGUAGUGUGCGCUGGUUUGGUUUGGUUAAUAGGGAAACAAAGAGCAUGGCCUAUCAUUUGAAAAAUUGGAAUAUUUUUUGCUCAUCACUUUAAUUUAAUGUGUAUUUUUAUCACUCUUUUUAAUACUUGACACAUGUUCAUUGGCAUAACUAUAUAGUUAACUCUUUGCUUUGUAUUUUUAGAACCAUAUAGUUAUACUUAUAGAAACCCGUCAAGUGUUGAGAAGAGUGAUGAUUGUAUACUUUGAAUUAAAGUGGUGAGCAAAAAUACCCUUCUAAAAAACAAGGGAAUAAUGGGCAGAUGAAAGAAAAAAAAAAAAGAUGAUAAAAUGAUACACUAAAAAAAAAAGUUCCCAAAAUCUACUGGGAAGCUGAUUUUUAAGAGUAUAUAUGAUGCAUCAUUCCUAAGAAAGAUCAACCUGCCGACAAUUAUAGUACAUUUCAAGAUAUGACACCUUAUUUGGAGUCAUUUUUGUUAUUGGACUUAUCCUAAAAAUUGGCUGGAAGUGGCCGGAAUUUCAAACUCAAAACCAAUGGAACUUUGGAUCAUGGUUUGAUCUAUCUAGACUAGAAAUCGUUCCAAUCCUCCCAACGAGCAGCUAAGUCGUGAAAAAUAGGUAAGGAUCCAUACCUUGAUCGUCCGAUUUGGUGGCUGGAUGAUGGAGAUCGACGGCCGUGAAGUUUCGAACGAAAACUGGCGAUUUUCGUGGUUUUCCAGCGGGAUCACGGCUGCGGCUGGCGUCGAGGUAGGUUGAGGUUGACGGCGAGGCUUGGCCGGUCGUUUUGGCUCCGGUCUUGCAGCUUAGGUGGUCGGUGGUGAAAGCUCUGGCGGUUUGAAGGUGACGGCUGGAGAAAAUUUCGAAGGGGAGGAGGGUUCUGCGCGACAGGAGAGAGAAAGGAGGGUUUAAAAUCCUGAUUUCUUAAAUUACCAUUUUGCCCUUCUACGUAUUUUGACCGUAUUUUCUUCGUUAAAGCUCCAAUUUGAGCCAACAUCGUGUUUACGGACUCGUUUCAUCGUGCUUUACGCAACGGUGUGUGUGGAAUUGUCAAAUUCCUUCUCGGUCAAAAAGUCAACUUUUCUUUACUAAAUUAUUCUAAUGACAAAAUUGUCUUUUUCUCUUAAUAAAUUAAUAAUUAAAUAUUAAUUUAGGUGUGGGUUAUUACAGAUAUACCUUGAAAUAAUCAAAUCAUAACUAACAUAAAAAUUUCAAAAUAGUAUUUUUCUUUCUAAUACUACAAGAGGUGCUACAUUCUAUUUCCGCUCUCUAAUUCCCUUGACAAAAAAAACCAGAAAAUAUAAAUAAUCAGUGCUAACAUGGUAACAUACAGUCUUCAAGUUCAUUUGUUAUCUUUAGAUGCGAAUCUAUGAAUUUUUUUCCGAAGGUUGCCGUGUAAAAGUUCUUAAAAAAACUUUUUGAGAAAAAACACCUGUCAAAUAAAACUAGAAAAAAAAAAAAAGGAAAAAAAAAAAACCACUCAUAACAAUGAAAUAAUACUAUUAUCAUUCAUAAUUUAUGAAUAGAAGAACAUUUUUUUAUUAAUUUAAAAAGUCACUGAUGGUAUGCGUGUUUUAUAUUAUAAUAAUAUAGCAGCAUAUAUAUAUAUAUUUAAAAUUUGCCUGUAUAUUUUGGUGUUUCCUUUUGACUGGUUGCUGCUGCUGGCCGUUGCGGCGUUGGAAUGGAAUGGAAGCGGGGCUGCGGCUUCUGUCUGUUUAAAAAUAAUAUAAAAAUUUGAACCUGGCCAAAACGGUGAAGAUUUGCUGCCUUGCUGGCCUUCAUUCAGACUUUUCCACAGACAGGUGGUGGGCGUUCCAGCACCAAGUGGUCAAGAUGACUGACUUUUGAGGUAUAGUGGCGAGGUGGCGUUCGCUUCUCGAGGAUUCAACACGUCAAACUUAGGACUCCACGCACUAAUUUUUUUUUUGGUUACAAGGAUGGCCGAACCAAAGUGACUAAUUUGGAGUGUUAUCCAAAGGGAUGAAUUGACCCCGCCGUUUUCCCCAACGUGGGUCUUCCUCUGACGAUGGCUAAUCAGCAAAUAACAAUAACAAAGUGUCAUUAUUGCAUGUGUCAAUAUACCAAGAUUUUGUUUCAUGCUAGCAAGUAGACUAGUAGUAGUAACUUGAACGUAGCUCAUCUCUUAUGUGUGAAGAUGGCUGUGGAUUUAAUUCGUCAGUCAUUCAUGCCGGCCACCGAAAUGGACAACGAUCAGUAAUUUGCCAAAGGGAGGUUUCCUGGUCCAACUUGAAGAUUUGAAGUUUUAGAAAGUUGAGGCUUCAAGUUCGGGAUGACAUAUGUUUGUUGGAUGUACUCAGUUGGUAUUCCUGAUGACAUAUGUUUUGGGAUGUACAAAUUCGACUACGUAUUUAUUUAAUUGGUUUAAAGUUGAAAUUAGUGGGUAGUUUGUCGAUUUUUUAUAUCCAAUUUUCAAAUUUCAUAAUUUCAUGGUUUGAAAUUAAUUUGUUCAAUUCAACCAAAAAAACAUUAAAAAAUUAAUUUUUUUUCCAAAGGGCAAGAAAAUGUAAUUGCUCUCUAUAAUUCUUAAUCUCUAUGUUAUAGCUCCCUAAUACAAACUAUAUGUAAAUGAUUUACCUAUACAAUCUAGAUAAAUUAGCAUGAAUGGAGUUCAAUUGUCAAACCUAUAUAGAAGCACUAAACUAAUCUAAAAAUUCACUUUAGUUUUUAUUACUAAUGGUCUAUGAACUUUUCACAAGUCCUCGUUUGAGUCCUCACACUUUCAAAUUAAUCAGUGUGAUCUUUAAUCUAUUGGUUCACACAUCUGUUUAGUCUCUCUAAUCGCAUUCCAUUAAAGUCUCCGAUAAAAUUUAUCAUAUGACCAACUUUGAAGGGGUAGCAUAAAAUACAACCUAUCUACCGAUGAAACAAAGUAAAUCUCACAUAUUUUGCUCAACAAGGCUAUAUGCUCUCCUUGAUGAAUCCCAAUGUGAAACCCCAAUUGUAGAGAAUAUGGCCUUGUGAAGCAAAAAUGUGAGUUUGAGGGCUAAAAUGACCUAUAUGGAAAUGUGGAUUAGGCCAGUUGUCUAAGGCAGUAUGGGCGCCCUCUUGCACCCAAGUUCGAUCCCCCUCUUCGUACAUUAAAUUAGUUUAGAAUAUCGUGUAAAAAAAGAGGUUAAAAUAACCUAUAUUUAGAUGACAAUACAUGUGACCAAUUUUAACGGAAGUUUUGUCAGAAUGUGACAAUAGAGACCAAAUUGAUAUGUAGGCCAAAAUAUAAAGGAUCAUAUUGACUGAUUUUGGAGUUUGAUGACUAAAAUGAGGACUUUUAAAAAGUUUAGGAUCACUUGUGAUAAAGGAAAGACCGAAAAAUAUAUGUCAAUGUUGAUAUGGUAAAUGUAGAAAAUUGAUAUUUACUUACUAUUAAGUUGUUCGAUCCUGCCUAAUCGUUAGUGGAGACACACCAGAUUGUCUUAAUUUUGAUAUUAGACCGCUCCGUUAUUGUAAUGGCCCUUUUGUGGCUAGUUUGUAUUGGUUCUUUGUGGCUAGUGAUUUUUUUAACUGAAUUAUAAAUGCAAUCAUAGAAUUUCUCAACCAAAAAAAAAAAGUUAUCCUCCCUCCUCAAAUAGAAUGCCCAUUAAAUUAGGAGUUAAAUAAGUUAAAAGGGAAAAUGCACGCCGGGGUCUUAAAGCAUUUACAGAUAGGCUUCCUAAUCUACAACUCCAAAGAUGCUCCUUUACAUCUUAAAAUAUAAAGACUAGGGGCUCUUAGUGUCUCCAUGUAAUUAAUACUGCUUUAUUUUAAUAAUUUAUACAUUUAUUUAAUAUUGGCUAUUAUUUGUUAUUAUAUCAUUUUAUGUAGACAGAGAGCAAUUAUCUAUAUAUAUAUAAAGCAAAAGGCAGAGAAUGGUGAAAUAUUCAAAAUACCAGAAAAUGCCCUUUGUUAAUUCAAACAUUAAGAAUUGAAAUUAUUAAUUAAAUGAGGAUAAUAUGGUAAAUUUACAUUUUUUAAUAUUAAAAAAAUUAAAAUUAAAAACAAAAUAAGAUAAUAGGUCCUACUUUUAUGGAACAUAAUUACCCUGUUAUCUUUUAUUAAUUCUAAAAAUAAAAUAAAAAAGAAAAAGAAAACCAAUUGGCACAUGCGUGUGCAUGUGUCAAGGGGCUAGUGAUCAAUUAAAAAAGAAACGUCCUCCUCAGUUGUAACACAAUAUUAAUUGGUUGCAAAGGGAUUGUAGCUCAAGUGGUUAGAACAGUUAUAUCUACAUCCGAGAUCCUUGGUUUGAAUCUUCCCUAGGCCUAUGCCAAUAUUGAUCGCUUUUAUUUAUAUAUAAUAAAAAAUUAAAGUUUUUAUGACUCCCCAUAUUAGAGAGUAUGAUUAUAGUUAAAAUUUUGAAUGAAGAAAUUUAAAAGUACUAAGGAAUUCAUAAAUGAUGGAAAUUAAUGUUCUAGAAUUUAUAAAAUUUCUUAUUUAGCUAAUUUAAAACUAUAAUGGAUUUAAACACACAAUUUAACGUUUGGUAGUGGUUUUCUAGCGGUAAGGAGGAUUUGUGUCCAGACUUUUUAAAUUUUUUAAUAUUUUUUUGUGUGUCAAAAGAUAAGAAUUUUUAACCAAUAACAUUUUCAUCUACAGUAAGAAUAUUGAAAACCUGGGGCGUCCCAGAAGAACCUCCCUGUUAGUCCACUCACAAAAGAGGCUGCCGCUGGCAGCCUUGAAUGACCAUUCUUAAAGUUGAAAGGGUCUAAAUCUGAAUCACCAUUUUUAAAGUUGUAUAUAUAUAUUGCUGUACAUUGUUAAACAAAGCACUAAUUAGCUCCGAUCUUACAAACUGCCUUAUAUUGUUCCUCUUCUGCUUGUAUUUUCUAAUCAGCGAAAGGCUUUUACGUGUUAAUCACGUACGUUGUUUGAUCCAAAACCAAAAAAAGAAAAUGAUGGCCACAACAAGAGCAGAUGGGCAGGGAAGUGUUUCCCAACUCAGUAUCCCAACCAUUGACCUUAAAGGCAUCCAUAGCAACUCAGUUUUACGAACUGAAAUAGUCGAGCAAAUUCGAGAUGCAUGUGAGAAAUGGGGUUUCUUUCAAGUUCAAAACGGAAUUCCUGCUGAAAUUUUGGAUAGGAUGCUGCAUGGAAUACGUGAGUUCCAUGAGCAGGAUAGUGAUCUUAAGAAAGAGUUGUGUUCAAAGGAUGCUGGGAACAAGGAGCAGUAUAUGUCCAAUAAUCGCUUUUUCAAAUCUUCACAAGGAAACUCGAGGGAUACGUUUGUGUGCUAUAUGGCUCCUGAUCCAACCAAACCAGCAGACGAAUUACCCUCAGUGUGCAGGUAUGCAUGGCACUACAAAUUAAUUAAAUUUUUAUAUAUGUAACAUUUUACACACUCUAGUCUAACCGUGCAUUUAGUUUAUAAUUUACACCUUUCAGUCUUUUACCAUUACUUUCAUCAUUCGGUAAAUGAAAUUCAUGAGUGAACUUGAUGAUUUCGAGUUGCAGAGAUGUAGUGAAUGAGUACUCAAAGCUAGUGAUGGAUUUGGGAUUUACUUUGUUUGAGUUGCUUUCUGAGGCUCUUGGGCUCAAUCCAAACCAACUUAAAGACGCGUACAUGGAUUGUGCUGAGGGACUUUCUAUUAUGGGUCACUACUAUCCUCCAUGUCCUGAAACAAAAUUGACUAUGGGCACCAACAAGCACACUGAUGGAAGUUUCAUCACCGUACUCUUACAAGAUCAAGUAGGUGGCCUCCAAGUUUUAUAUGAGAAUCAAUGGAUUGAUGUUCCUCCCACGCAUGGAGCUCUUGUUGUCAACGUCGGAGAUCUUCUGCAGGCAAGUUCAUUAUUACAAUUAUAUAUAUAUAUAGCCAACUUUUCACUGUACUAAAUCUAUCAAUACCAAAUAAUAACAAAGAUUUAUGAAUAAAUUAACUUUCAAUAAACUUAUAUCUUUGCGUUGUUUUUGUGCAGCUCAUCUCAAAUGACAAGUUUAUUAGUGUUAACCACAGAGUUCUAGCGCAGAGUGUGGGCCCAAGAGUUUCUGUGCCAACCUUCUUUAGACCACAUGCAGAAAACCCAAAAGUUUAUGGACCAAUCAAGGAGUUGUUGUCAGAAGAAAAUCCUCAAAUCUAUCGAGAAACUAGUGUUAAAGAUUAUCUGAAGUACUACCUCUCAGAACUCGUAAAAGGGAACUCCGCAUUAGAACAUUUCAAGCUAUGAAGGGAUGUGGGGCCCAUUUCUUUGGACCUCUUAUCUGUGUUUUAGUUUUGUUGUUGGUUGGUGGUCACUCUGUAUGUUGAGUCAAUAAUCCUCUCUGAGGGUCUCAAAUUGUCUGUCAAUAAUCCUUGUUAUUAGCUAAUGGUCUUCUAAUAAAAGUACUUCUUGAAGAAAAAAAAAAAAUACAGUCGUCAGUCGUGACGUUGAUGCCAUAGCACAACUACCUAGUAAUUUGUGAUUUGGUUGAUAGGGAAAGUUACCGCAUAAAAAUUGCUUAUAAAACAAAAGUCCAUUUCAUGAUGAUUGUAUAUUGACUCUUAGAAUAGCAUAACCCAAAAAAAAUAUAUAUAUAUAUAUAUAUAUUAUUUUAUUGAAAUAUAAUUAAUGCAUAUGUUCUUACGCUGACUUUUAUGCGAACUUUUACACUAAUUUAGGUCCCGUUUUGAAUUUUUUUUUUUUUUUCACCAAACAUUGACUUCGCUUUAUAUUUGUUCAGUAAUGUCGCAGUCAAAACCUUGGAACUUCAGUCGCUGUCAUUUUGUUACAAGAAUGAUCAAUAGUACAAUUCUGAAAACCAAAAAAAAAAAACAUUUCUUCGAAACUCCCCAGUGAUAAAAAUCAAUGUUUUAAAAACCGCCCCUCGAAAGCGCCUUGAGGCCAGCUUUAGAGCAAGGCGAUGGUAUUUUGCUUCAAGAAUGAGAGGCCUCCUUCUCGUCAUCUCCUCCAAGAGCUGUGAUUGAGGCAGUCGACAAAGAGAUGAGGAUUGAGGAAGAAGAGAAGGUGGGUGAGCGAGAGGGGGCUUGGAAUGAGAGGCUUCUCCUGUUAGGCCAAGGGUUUGAGAAGAAAAAGUGUAUUUGUAUGUCGUUGAAAAAGGAAGGAGAGCUGGGCUUUCAAUUGGGCUUGGGCUUGGGCUUAGAACACUGAUACAACCAAAUAUCACUAAAGGGAAUACAGAGUUUAACUAAAACAACCACUGAGAGUACUUCCACCUCAAAGGGUAAGGGCAAGGUUUGUCACUAUUCACGUGCAUAGUGGCACCCUUAUCUUUUUUGUUUUCACCACACGGACAAAGGCAAGGGCAAGGGCAAGGGCAAGGGCAAUUACUAUUUACUUUAAUUUAUUUUCUAUUUUUUAUACUUAAACUAUUAAUUUUGAUAAGCUUUUCAGAUAAGAUUUUCGAUUGCCACGUAUCACUAUUUAUUAUAAAUUUCUCACCUAAAAUUUCAGAUAACAUUUUCGGAUAAAAUUUUCGGUUGCUACGUGUCCAUAUUUUGUUAUAACAUUCAGAUCUCAAAUUUAAGAUAAAAUUUUUGGAUAAGAUUUUCGGUUGCCACGUGUCGAUAUUUAUUAUAAAAUUCUAAUAUCAUAUUUCAGAUAAGAUUUUCAUACUCUAAAAUUGCUCCACGUGUCAUCUCUGUAUUCUAAAUCCCUCUAUAAAACUACACCAUCAACUUAGACCUCUUACACCAUAUCUUCUCUAUCAUUUCAUUUUUCAGAUUUCACAAAACACAUUAUACUCUCAAUGUCUAACUUGAGGAAGGUGUUAGAGAGGCAACAACUAGAAGAUGAAGAAAUUAGGCGCAAACAUGCUAAAGAAGAUCGUGAGUUGGAUGAAGAGAAGGAAGAAGUUGUUUUAGCGGUGUGUAUGCUCAAUCAAUCAAGGCAACACCACCGUCGUUGUGCCUCGAACGUAGACAGACAUAAGCACUCUCGGGGUAAGAAUCUCUUGAAAGAUUAUUUUAUCCCAAAUUCGUUAUAUCUUGAUUCUUAUUUUCAAGAGAGAUAUAGAAUGCAGCCAUAUUUGUUCCAAAAAAUCAUGCAUAAUGUUUGCAAUUACGACACUUACUUCGUUCAGAGUACGAUGUUGUUAGAGUUUUGGGUCGUCUUCCGAAGUAAAAACUUACAGCUGCUUUGUGGAUACUUACAUAUGGGGCAUCUGCAGACCAGUGGAUGAGAUUGCUAGGAUGGGGAAAUCGACUAUCCUAGAGUGCUUGGUCAGAUUCUGUGAUGCAAUAGAAAAUCUCUACACGAGGAAGUACCUCCGCAAACCUAUGCCUAGGGACCUUCGAAGACUUCUACGAAAAAACGAGGCUCGAGGUUUCUCAAGCAUGAUUGGAAGCAUCGACUGCAUUGUAAUGAUAGUGGAAGAAUUGCCCAACUGCUUGGCAAAGAGAUUAUGGGAAUAGGAAGGACAAAAAAAGUAUAAUUCUAGAGGCCAUUGCAUCAUUCGACACUUGGGUUUGGCAUGCCUUUUUCGGACUUGCAGGAUGUCAAAAUGAUCUCAAUGUUCUUGGUCAAUCUCCGGUAUUCAACAAUGUCUUGAGAGGUCAUUCCCCCCACAAACAAGUUUAUUGGGAGCUAAACCUGAGCCUUUUCCCAUGGAAGAAAAUCUAAAGCCCGACAAUAUUGAUGGCAAUCUACUCAAUAAUCUAGUCUCAUAUCAUCGCUUGAUUGGAAGACUUAUUUAUCUAACUAUUACAAGACCAGAUAUUUUUUUUGCAAUUAAUAUCCUCAGCCAAUACAUACACCAACCUCUCCAACCAUAUAUGAAAACUGCCACACGUUUAGUUCAUUACUUAAAAGGAUCACCUGGUCCAAGUAUUCUGUUAUCCUAUCAUAAUGAAUUAAAAUUGUGAGCUUUAUGUGACUCAAAUUGGACAAGUUGCCCCUAUGACAAGAAGAUCAACAACGGGUUAUUGUGUGUUUCUCGGAACAAGUCCAAUUUCAUAGAAAAUCAAAAAACAACCCACUAUAUCUAGGUCCUCAUCAGAAGCCGAGUAUAGGGCAAUGGUAGUAGCUACAUGUGAGCUACAAUGGCUACGAUAUCUUUUACAAGAUCUUGGUAUAUAUCACAUGUUUUUCCUAGAACACUUUAUUGCGACAACAAGGCUGCCAUAUAUAUAGCAUCAAAUCCGGCCUAUCAUGAGCGAACCAAAAAUAUUGAAAUUGAUUGCCAUGUUGUCUGUGAAAGAAUUCAAGACGGAACAUUACGUACUGCAUUCCUUCCUUCUAGAGAUCAAAUCAUAGAUAUCUUUACAAAAGCAUUGGGCAAGGAAACUUUCCUACGAUUAAAGAGCAAGUUAAAUCUUUUAGACAUACAUGCUUCAACUUGAGGGGGAGUAUAGAAAUCAAGGCUUAAUUGAGAGAAGACUUUAGAUUAAAGUUAACGUUGUAUAGAUGUCUUACUUGGACAUCAAUUAUUUUCCUUUUUUGUGUAAUUACCUUAGACAUAGGAUCUAGAGAUUUAUUUCCUUUUGUAUUCCUUAAGCUUUGUUAUAUAUCUGUACUCUUUGUACAGUGAUCAAUACAGAAAACAUUCACCAUAUUUUAUUAUAUUUUUCUUGAUCGAUUUUUAUCUUUAAUCUUUUUUAUGGUAAGCUCAUUCUAAUGCACCUCUAGUUUCUGUUUUUCUGAUGAUUUGAGUUGAGCUUAUUUAUUUUGAUAAAAAAAAUAACAAGUUAAAAGAUAUAACACCAACAACUAAGGAGGAAAUACAUUUGGGCUGAGAUGGGCUCCAACCCAGUGUUGUGUUUAGAGAAUAGGCUUAAGGGGCUUACUUAUACAAGCCAAAUCUAUGAAAUAAAAAAUUAGCCCACCGUCUAUCUAGAAAUAAGCCUACCCCCAUGUAAAUUCAUCAAGUAUACUCCCUUCCCAACCUUUGGAUUGACUUUGGAGUCCCUGUUUUGAGAAUCAUCAAAUGGCUCAAGGCUUUUCACAGUGACAUAAUUAUCCAAGUGAUGCUUUCUUGUUUUUCUGUCAUAUAUAUGUGAAGCUUUUCAAAUUUUAAAGUGUAAGAUAUUAAUUUAUUUUAAAUCUUUAAAGCUUUCCUUUUCAUUCUCUUUCCUCUGAGGUCCCGUUUGGGAUUGCUUUUUUUCAUCAAAAAUCUGCUUCAUUUUAAAGUUAAGCAGUUUAAGGUGUUUGGUAAAAAUAAAAUAUCCUCAUUAUUUUAAAAGCAGUGACCUUUUGACAGUAGCUUUUAAAAGCAGGCUCUAGGUUGCUUUUCAAAGCUGCUUUCAAAAGAAGUAGAGAUAAACCUUUAAUGAAUUUUUUUAAUUCCCAAAAUACCUUCAUUCAUUUUAAGAAAUGACACCAUCUCCACUUCCACAUCCAACUCCACCACUUGUACCACCACAUUCAUUACCUCUACAACCACCGCCACCACCAACUCCACCAUCACCACCACAUCCUCCUCCUCCUCAUCCUCCGCCACCACCACCACAACCACCGCAUCCACCACCAUCUCCACCACCACCUCCUCCACCUCCACCACCACCACUACCACCACCACCUCCACCACCGCCAUCCCCACCACCACCACUACCACACCACCAA
rnacentral:lncRNA from 1 species